rnacentral:lncRNA from 1 species
CUUCCUUGAGUUGGAGCAUAGACGUUAAUCAUGCUCAGCUAGUUACAAAUAUAAUCAAUCCAAACUCCUUUCUAUGCUUUUGUUAUGUCCCCUAAUUGAUAUCCGAUCUUGAAAUAACUCAGGAACUAGCAUUUUACAUUUGACAAAAAUCACGUUUGAUCAGAAUGAACAAGCAAGUUAUUUGAAUCCAGAGCAUGCCAGCAGAUUACUCUAGAGGCCUUUCAUCAUCAAAGUCAAACACUUCCAAAGCCUAAAUCAGUGCAAACAACAGACCUAAAUUGCUAUGAAAUUUAACAAAGAUUACAUAAGAAGACCAAUAUAAGGAACAAGAAAUAUUCCCUAACUCGAGAUGUCAUUCGUCCUACAACGGUUGGAAAGGAAGGUUGUAAAAAUGAAGUAAGAAUCCUCCAAAUUAAAAGAAGGUUGGCAAUUACCGAAAGUGGUGGUAAAAGUACCAUGGAGGAAGUUGUACUAGAAGUCAAAUUGCAUUUUGUCCUCUCUACUAAAAAAUGGGGCAAAUUAGUCUAUAGGUUAGAUCAAAGAACAAAUUGAUCCUUUCUAUUAAAAAUUUUAUUCAUUUGUACUGUUAAAAUCUAGUGUGGUUGACGGAAUAGUUAGACAAUAACACUUAAUGUGCCAUGUUUACUUUGUAUAGAGAUCAAUUUUUAUCCAUAGAAAUGGACGGAGUUUUUAAUAGAAAGACCAGUUUACUAUUUGAUCUAAGGACAAAAUUGCCUAUUUUCUAAGUAGAGAGACCAAAAUGCAAUUUGGCUCCUAGUAACCAAAGUGGUUCAUCAAUCAUUUCCGCCAUUUAAAAAUUGAAAAAUACCUAGAUAUGUAACCUACAUUUGAUUAUUGUUUUGCCCCUAAUUUCUGUUUCAGUGCUCACAUAGUUUCCCUAAAACACUGGCAAGUUAGGAUAUCUCUCCAUGGCCAAUUUAUUAUCCAACUCGAAUAAAACAGCAAAUUGAGUUGGUUCUUUUAAGAGAUUCAAAACCUCAAAAUCCAUUCCAAUGAAAAGAAAAAAAGAAGAAGAAAGCAAGCAGAGUAAUAAUCAGUUAAUCCAGAAUCAGGUCCAACUCCAAACAUCGAGAAUUACAAGAACACACCACAUGGAUGAACUGUAAACAAAAAGAAAUUCUUAGGUAAUUAAAAAUGAAAAUGAAUGUUUCAACGGACCUUAACAGCUUGAUUGAGGAUAGGCACUUGAUUGGGAUCGAAGAAAAAAGCUUUGAUGACCCUCCGCUUGGAGAAAUUUGAAUUGAAAUUCACGGAAAACGACAAAGGUUUCUUCCAAGUCCCCUGCCAAAACAAACAAUAACAAAUAUAUGAUUAAGGUAUGUCGAAAGUGGAGGGAAAUGAGAAUGGAAGCACAAGAAAUGAAGAGGAGUUGGAGUACCAGAGCAGACCAGCAAGAGUUGGUCAGACAGACGACGCCCAUGGUUCCUUUAGGACCAAAUAGUUUUUUUUUUCUUUUUUUGGUUAAUUCUUUCUUUCUCUUUAUCUCUUAGGUUUGUGUGAUUUUAUGCUUUUUAUAUAAAUAUAAUUUCUUUUUAAUUUUUUUCAUAAAAAAUAUCAUAUCAUUUUAUAUAUCAUAUAGGUUUUUUGUGGGUACAAAUAUAUCAUAUUUUCUUAAAUCCGUUGCUGGAAACAUCUAAUAUGUUUGCAAAUUAGGAAAUUAGGAAGAUUGAAAAAUUAAUGAUGUAAAAUCUUUUUCUAGAAACAAUGUUUUUUCUUCAAAUUAAUUUUUCUUUAAAAAAUGUUUUUUUUUCGAGCAACAAUUAGUAAUAUCUUAUUUUAAAUGGUUACAUUUUGAGGAUAGUCCCUAUACUUAUUGAUUUGUGUGGAUUUAGUCCCUCUACUUUGAUUUGCUUAAAAUUGGUCCUAUUUUCCGAUUGGCUCAUUAACUUUGUUAAAAAAUUAGGUAUAAUCAUAAGUUUAGCCCCUCAACCUUUACAACGGUUAUUAAUUUAACACCUACUCUUUUAAUUUUUGCUUUAAUUAUUAAAAAUUUAAAAAAAAACAUAUGUCGAAACUGUUUUUUGAAAACAAAAAUUUUAGGUUGUCGACUUUUAAAAAAAUGAAAAUUGGGAGUCGCCACCAAUCUUUUAUUAAUGUGUGAUUGGGUCACCUAAAAACGACUUUGGUCUACGAAUUUUAGAAAAACGGGUCCGGGAAUCGGUUACGUAUGAGGAAGGAUUAGCACCCUCAUUACGCCCAAAAAUUGGUACCUAGUUAAUUAAUUAAAGUCUUAAUGUCAAAAAUUUGAAAAAUAUAAUCCUUAGCAAAAACACUUAAACGUUAUGUAUUAAGACCCUUAUCAUUUCAGAGAAAGAAAAUGCCACACCCAAUGCGUUAGGGCACGACAUUCUAAUUUCCUCAAAAAUGAAUUAGGCCAGAAUACUCGUGUAAUAAAAUUUAAAAGAAUAUCCAUUUAUUCAAGAUUUAAGAAAUCGCGGCCCAAUACAUUAGGGCACAAUUCCUCCAAAAUCCCAAACUCGGAAUAUUUCCUUUAUUGUUUUUUUAGAAAAAAAAAUCUUCAUUUCGAGAAAUCAAUGCGUCAUAUCCAAUACGUUACGACACAACGUGUUGAAUCCCCAAUAAUGAGUUCUUAUUUUUUGAUUAAAGAGAAGUGCUCGAUUGUUAGAUUUAACGAAGAAAAUCGGAACCGAAUACGUUAGGGCUCAAUUUCCUUGAAAAUCCUAAAUACAAGCAUCAUCUCAAUUUUGAAAAUUUUGAAAUCGAGAAAAAAAAUGAUGUGAUGCUACAUUAAAUAUACAAUGCAAUAAUAAAUAUUACGAUGGCAUAAGAAUAAUAUGAAUAAAUGAAUAAAUAAAAUUGAUAACAAUAAUCCAUGACAUGUAAAACAUUUAAUGUAAACACAAUUAUAUAUCGAAUGAGGGAAGCAAAUCAAAUAAAUGAAGAAAAGAAUAUAUACAAUAUGAACAUAAAAAUUAUUAAAAUAUACAUAUGAUUUACAAAUAAAUUUUUGGGGUUAUGGAACUUAUAUAUAUGCAAUACAUAAUAUUUACGAAUAUAAAGAAAAAUAGAUAAACAUAUAUAGAUUAUAGAAUAGGUAUUUAAAAAUAUAUAUUUGAGCCCUUUUAAAAAAAAUAAAUAUCCAUAUAGAUAUAAAUAAAACAUUUGUUAAAAAUAUAUAUACAUAUGUACCUAUAAAAAAUAGUAAUAAUAAUAAUUACAUUAUAGAGAAUAUACCUAUAUAUAGGAAAAUAAAUGGAUACAUAAAAAAAUAUAUAAAAAUAUUAAAUUACAAUAUUAUAAAUAAAUAUACGUACAUAUAAAAAUAUUUGUUAAAAUAAAUAAAUAAAUAAUAUAUAAAUAAAAACUAAUUAAAGAAAUAAUUACAUUAUGGAAGUCAAUUAAUUUUAAAGAAACUAAAUUGAACUGAAUAUGAAAAAUCUAGGGACAAAUCUGCAAAUAAAUAAAGAUCGAAAGACCUCAAUGAACGCCCUAAUAAUUCAGAGGUGCUGGAAGGGAAAUUUUCUCUUCUCCUCUAAACGACAUCGUUCAAUAAGGACGAGGUUGGAAUUAAAAAAAUAAAUAAAGGGAAAAUUAAAAAAUAAAGAAAACUUAAUUGAAAAUACACUAAAAAGAGGAGGGGCUAAAAAUGAAAUUUGCCCCUACAAAUAAAAACACGCGAAUCCUGGAUCCAGAUCGGGUCGAUGCGCGGAUCCCACCUCCUUCCAAACGGCGCUGUUUUGAUUGGCCUAUUUAAGCCAAAUUUCAAUCAAAAAUUUCAUUUUUUCCAUUCUUUACAAAAAAAAAAAACUUAAAAAAUUUCUCAAAUUCUCCCUUCUCCUCCGGGCACCGGCCCCCUAGUCCGACCAUCGGCCGGUCACCGGCCACCGCGUCGGCCGCCGAUCUCCGGCGCCAGCACCGCCGUAUGCGAUGGCCGAAAAAGGGAAAACUCCCUAUUCGGCCCUUUCGGCCUCCCUUAACCCGAAUCCGGGCUCAAAUACUUCAAAAAAACAACAAAAAUACCCUCUAGGCCCUGGAAACCUUUCGGCUUCCGGCCACCAGUCCUCGGGGGUGGCUCCCUUAGUCGUCUUCGCAACGUCGCAGAUCCGAACCCAGAUGAGUCCUUUCUCUUUUAUUUUUUAUUUUGUAUCAGUAUAUAAAAAUAAAAAUAAAAAGAAAAUAGAUGACAGAACGAAAAUAUCAACCUUCGAUUGAUUCUCUUUGUACCCUCUUAGUAUCCAGUUGUUUGUGAAAAUAUUUGUGUAUUUUACUGAUUUCUGAAUCCCCUCCCGUUACAAUAUGUUAAAUCGCUUUUAUAGCGAUCGUCAAUACAAGAAGAAAAGAAAGAAAUAAAAAGAAAUCUUCCAAUUUUGAUUUGAUUUCGAUUCCUUCAUUUUUUUUCUUUCCUUUCUUGUGUUUGCAGGCGAUUGCAUGGAGAUUCGGCUCUUGGUGAUGGUUGCGGUGCGAAGAUCUUGCUGUUGCUAGGGUUUCAGAAACUGUUCUUGCCUAUUUGGGCUAAAUUGUAAUUGGGCUUUAGGUUUGGGUCACUUAUUUUAGGUUUUGUUGUAAUUGGGCAGUUUCAUUUGGGCCCGUUUAUUAUUUGUAACCCGGGCAAAAAUCGGGUAUUACAACAUAUAGCAAAAGUAUAAGUUUUUCCCAUAUGAGACAAAAAAUUAGAGAUAGAAAAAAAAAACAAACUUACUAUUAAUCAUUACUACUAGAGAUUUUAACUUGCAAUUUUUAUUUAGCAACAAUAAGUAUCGUGUAUAUUAAGUAAGUUACAUAAUAAAUCUUUAAACUUAACCUCAACUUUCAAAUAAGAAUAAACUUUUGAUUUAAUCAAAGUACAUAUUUUAACUUUAAUUAUUAACAACUUAGUUCACUUAAAACAAUAUUGUUAAAUUAUUUUAACAAAAUAAUUGAAUCCACAUUCCUACUAUGCAUGUCUUUAACAUGUAAACAAAUUAAUAUCUAAUUGAAAUUUUAAAUGGUUAUACCCUUUCACUACUUGGACACGUGUCGGCAAGAUAGAAGGUGUUGACUUCCCUUUUGACUCCACCUAAGACAAUAUCUUGGUUGGCCACCCGCCCAUACUUAGGGAGAGGUACCCUUCUGAUACUAAAACCGCCCACUUUCAAGUGUGAACACUCCUCAAGUGUGAACAUGCUCUCAAUGUAAUAAAGAGUUUAUUUAGGCAUAACUACCUCGUACUGAUUGAGUACAUAACAAAAUGGGCCCCACGAUAUAUGUCCUUUACACCUAUGAAUAUCAUGUAUGCAUUUGGUAGGGCUAAAUAUUUAUCCUGCCACGUCAUAUCAGUGGACAAUAGGACCUCUCUUAUAAAUACUCUUCCAACAAUAAAGAAAAGAUCGGCCUUUUGAAACCCUAAAGUUACUUUGAAGAGAUCUUUUUACUCUCGUUCUUAGUCAACCUGCCCUCUUGUUCUUGUUCAGCUCUUCGCCUCUUUAGGUGAAUUGACCUACAUAGAGCCACCAUUGUCUCAUCUCUUGUUGGACUUUGUAUCAACAAUUGAUGCGAUGAACAUUGACCAAAAAUGUCUCAAAUUCAAAAAGAUACAACUCUCAACUCCUCUAACCCUGCCAUGUCCGGUAAUCUUGCCAACUCCUCUUAGGGAAUGGCAAAGAUCCUGCCAAUAUUGAGCUUCCUUCAAACCAAAAACUUCUUUCCAUCACUCAGAUGACGAACCACCCAACUAUUACCCCACUUAAAGCCUUCACAUAACUCAUGGCCUCCCUCAACAUCCCUCUAUCCACUCCUUUGUAUGAUCUUGCCAUUGCUACAAGCAUGCCACCUGCUACCCCAAACACUCAGAUCUCACCUGUAGUAGUACUAUUUUAAUUUUUCAUAGUUGGGUGACAAAAUUGAAUAGUUGGGUGGCCAAAAAAAAAACAUAGUUGGAGACUACUAAUGUAGUUUACCCUACUUUUUUUCGUAUUACCCAACUAUUUUAAUUUUUAAAAUACAUAAAUACCAUAUAAUGCAACAAACCUUAGUGUAUUAAGCAUUUUAAUAUGGAUUAAUAUAUUAUUUGGUACUUGAAUUUGAAUUUUAAUGUGAUACUUGUGUUAUUUUUUAAUCUAAUAUUCCACUUGUAUUUAAUAAAAGUUAUAUAUUUUGGUACCCAAAGGUAAUGGUGUUAAAUUUCUAGUGUUUCAUUUGAAUUUUAAGGUUGAUUUGAUGAAAGUUAACUGCUAAUAUUAUUAUAUUUGAAUUUUUCAUGAUUUUGUUAAUAGAAAUUUAAUGUUAACUAUGAAUUUAUUAAAUAUUUUGUUUAAUUUGUCAAAUAAGUCCGAUAGGUGUGAUUUAAUUUGGGUUUUAGGGUUGAUUUUAUUAAAGUUAAUUAUUAAUAGUAUUAGCUAAUUAUGAAUUUCUAUCAAAUCAAAUUUAAAACAUGAAUUAAACACUAAAAAGUUGUCAUUGUUAUCUUCAGGCAAGCUUGAUCAAAGCUUUUGGAUUUGAGCAAAAUGUUGAUGAAUCUUAUAUUUACAAAUGUAUUGUGGGUGGAAAGAUAGUUUUUUUGGUUCUCUAUGCCGAUGACAUUCUACUCAUUUGGAAUGAUGUAGGGAUGUUCUCAUUAGUUAAAUUAUGGUUAACUCAACUGUUUAGUGUUAAGGAUUUGGGUAAAGCCAACUAUGUUUUAGGAAUUUGAAUACUUAAUGUCUAAAGAACAAAGCAAUACAUUUAUGGCAAGUUUCAUACAUAGACAAGAUAUUAGAACAUUUUGCUAUUGUCGAUUUAAGAAAAGGGUUGUUGGAAUGCCACUACGCCCUGUGGUGCAACGGAAAAAAAAUUUCGACGAUCAACAACCAUGGAUCCAAGUAUGAUGAACGAAUCGGGUUGAAACAAAGUUGAAGAUAUACUUUUUCGAUCUGAUCCCCUGCGCAAUGCCGAUCCCAAGCCGCAACAAAACUGUCUCGGCCUCUACAUAGUCCACCUAGUCAAAAGAACGAACAACAAAAACUCUCUUGAACCUUUCAAAGAGAAUAAUUAAAAAUUGGUUGCUAGACCCUCUUUUUCUUUUUCUUUGAUAACAUACACAUUAGACAGGAUAUUAUUCAAUUUCUUUAAUAUCACAUAAUAAAAAAAAUUGUUCUUUUUCCUUUUUAGAGAAACAUAUGGAAAAUAAUAAAAUAUUUUUUUUCCAAUAGAAUAUUAACUUCCAUAUUUUUUUAUAUUUGAUCGAAAUUAUUAUUACAACUAUUUAUUUUAAUAGUUUCAGUAAAAUAUAUUCAAUUAAUAUUUUAACUGAAUCAAAUUCAUAUAUUAAUUUUAAUUAUGUUCUCUAUUCAUGUACAACAAGUUUGUGCAUAUAAUGUGUUUAAUAUUUAACUGUCAAAUUAAAUUAUUCAAUAACUAUUUUAAUUCAUGUGACAGCUAAACACAAUAUCAACUAUGUUUCGAUUCUAUUCGCUUCAACCAUAGGGUGUGACCCUAUAGGCUCUUGUAAUGUUAGUAGUAAUACUAAAACAUUUUUAAUGUUACAAGCAAUGAGUGACAUCUAGCAAUGCAUUAUUGUUACACAAGUUACAAAAAGUCGUGAUUCAGCAGAACCUUUCUGUAAUUUUUCAUUUAUUAUAUCUUUUUAUCCUUUAUAUCUAGAUUGGGCACAAAUCAUGAAAUAGUCACACUUGUAUAGUCCGAUCUCAUAUUUCUUGAUAUUCUGAGUAGACUGCAAUAAACAAAUAAGUGUGGUAUCUCAUAUCAACUUAUUUGAGUAUGACCAUUCAUUUCUAGUCUCACUCUAUCAAGUAGCUUAAGAUAUUGCUCUCAUUAUGUAGGAGGGACAAAUCCUAUCUUCAUCAAUCAUAUCCCACUACAUAGAUUGUGACAUACACAACAUCAGUCUUUAUAGUACAACCUAUUAUAAUAGAUGUUUGGCUGUAACAAAAUAUACGACUCACGAUACUGGGACAAUGAUAAUCUCAAGUCUGAGGAUCAUAUACAUAGUUAUCACUUUAAGUAAUGUUGUCAUUAUUACAUAAUAAUCCAAUAAACAUACUCAUAGCAGGUCAUUCCAGUAUGUUGUUCUCUAACACAUACUCAUGUAUUGAUUUUGACAUUCCUAUGUCAAUGACAAUACUUUGUCAUCAAUCAACUACAUAUUAGUCUCAAUGUAUUAUUAUUGUCCAAGCCCACAAUAAUACUUGACUAAAGACCUUUUAAGAAUAAUCAUAUUAUUAUCAAAAAUUUAAUAUUAAUCAUUUUAUUUACACAAAAAAACUGAAAUAACAAUGGCAAUGUUUUAUGUUAACAAACAAGGUAAAAUGAGUAUGUGAUUAUAAUUAUCUUAUGAUUGGUCUUUGGGCAUACUCUAACAUAUGCACCUUCUAUAUCGGGCUUUCAUCCCUCUUUGGAGGAUUAUCCUAUGACAAUAAAAAAAAAGAGCAUAUGAGAAAGGUUCCUUAUAUUUUGGCAAUAGGAAGUCUCAUGUAUGUUAUAUUAUGCACAUAUCUAGAUAUUUAUUUUGAAGUAGGUUUGGUAGGUUGAUAUCAGGCGAAUCUUGGUUCAAGACAUUGACAGACAGUUAAACAUAUACUUAAGUAUUUACAGAGAAUAAGAGAUUAUAUGCUUAUAUAUUUGAAAAGAGAUUUAACUCCUAUUAGAUAUACGGAUUUUGACUACCAUACGUAUAAGCAUUCAAGGAAAUUGACAUCAAAUUGUGUUUUUGUCCUAGGCAAUGGAGUCAUACUAUGGAGAAGUGUCAAGUAGAGUUGUAAUAUUGAUUCCAUGAUUGAGGUCAAAUAUGAGGCUGCUUCUGAGGCUACAAAAGAAGCAAUCUGGCUUUGAAAGUUCUUAACAGAUCUCAAAGUUAUAACUGAUAUGGAAAAAGCUAUCACACUAUAUUGCAAUAACAAUGUGCCAAUAGCUAACAUCAAGGAAACUAAAAAUCAUAAACAGACAAAACAUAUUGAUCGAAAAUAUCAUAUUAUAUAAGAGACAAUGACAGACAAAAUAGUGGAUGUAGUUAAAGUCACAUCUAAGAAAAACCUUGUGGAUCCAUUUACCAAGACUUUAGUGGCUAAAAAUUUUGAGAAACAUGUAAAGGGUAUGAGUAAGUAAAAUAUAACUCACCUACUUCACUAGGGCAAAUGGGAGACUAUUGGGAUAUAGUGCUCUUAAUGUAGUUAUUUUGUCAUGAAUGCUUGUAAUUUUUUGAACAAUUUGGUUUAUAAAAUUCCACCAUUUAUAUUAUUAUCUUUUGUAUGUUUCCUCAAUUUUUUUGCACGAAAAGCAAAAUGUAUAAGCAAAUAUUAGGUCACUAAUUACUUAACGUUUAACUAAUAUUAAGUUACAUCAUGUGGUCGGAUCAUGAUGCAAGAAGACAACUUAUAUUAGUGGGUAAUUUAAAUGGUACAUAAUCUUAAAAUCAAAAUUGAACAAAUUGAUUCAAAUGACUAUUAUGUCGUCCAUCAAAUCCAAUUAAAGAGGUACCUUGUAUUGGUAUCAGAGCAGAUGACUUCUAAAAAAAUAGGCAUAAGUGUGAUUGUCUGGACUAACAAUACAUCAAACAAUAUCCAAGUUGAAUAUAUACUAGAUUUGUUUAGAGAUUUAUUAACUUAUGACAUUCAUAUUGCGACUUACCUCAAUCCUGACUAUGUGUAUACAGCUCAUAUACUUUGAUAUACUGAAAGUCUGAGUUCAAUUGGUAAUAAAGCUAAAAGCUGACAUGUUUGGCAUAAAACUUAUAUAUGGCAUAUAUUUACUUACAAUAGUGGAAUUCAUAGCCCAAUAAAAGGAAAAAAUAUAUCCUCUCAUAAAUAUUGUAUGGUUGAUAUGGAAAAGUAACGUGGUCACGGAUCAUUUUUUUGGGACAAAUGAUUUAUUUACUGUGUACUAGUAAUUGACUUUUUCAUGAAAGAAGAUGUAGUGGUUACUAUAAGAUAAAAUAAAAUUAUAUUAAGAUAACAAAUUUAACCUAAAAAGAUUAAGGAUAUCCUAUGAGGGCAACACAUAUAUGAUAAGAUCAUUGGACAAACAUAUAUUAAGUUGCUUUCAUAAUGAUAUUAAUAAGAGAGAGUUUAGUUAUGGUAGUUUUAUGACUCCAUGACUAAAUAACAUUGUAAUUAAUAGACGAAGAGUCGAAACUUAAUUAUCCUUACUUUAGAAUUUGUAUAGAGUCUUAGGGUUAGACUUAAGAUUAGAAUUAUGCUAUAAGUUUAGAAUUAGUUUUAGAGCUAGGGUUAAGAUUAUGUUAAACUUAGGACUAAUCUUAGAACUAGGUUUAGGAUUAGACAUAAAACUAGAAUUAGACUUAAGUUUAAAACUUAGGAUUAGACUUAAGUUAAGAGCUUAGGAUUAGAUUUAGUCAAACUUAGGACUUAAAACUCAUUAAAUUGGUAUCUUACAUUAACAUGUUACAUCUUUAGAUACCUUUUCCAUGACAUAUUUUGUGCUUUUAUUUGAAAUUUAUUUUGUACUAAUAUGUAAUGAUCACCUCCCUCAUGCCACACUCAUUGGUAUCCAUUGUAUUAUUACAUUGCUAUAUUAUUGAAUGAAAGCCUUUGUCAUGCCUUGUGCUAAUAUCUCUUUUGCUAUUCCUAUUAAAAUCUAUGGAUAUUGACUUACCCAUGUGCCCAACAUAUUUUCUCAUUUUAAAUUUCUAAUAGAGAAAAAGUCCAGAAUACCCCUUUAAUAAACCUUACAUUCAAUUUAUCACUAAAAUUCUCUUUAUGCAAAAAUUAUGCUUUAGUUCCUAUACUUUUCACUUUCAUUCAAUUUAUUCUAUUCCUUGAUUCUCAAUUCUUCAUGCCAAUAUAUUUUUCCAUGCCUCUUCACUCAAGAUGAUUAUUGAACUACUCUUUCUUCGAAAUGGUCAAUUUACACUUUAAUCCUUAUAUUUUCUCCAAAUCUCAAUUUAACCCCGUUUCCAAAAUUUUGAACUCACAUAGAUCUUUACAAUUUCCUUUCCCAAAUAUCUAAUUAAUUCCUUUAAAAUAAUUAUUUAAUGAAUUCAUUCCAAUUUCUAAGGAAUACUAUUAUGCAUGUCAUCGGGACAUUGCCAUUAAUGAACCAAAAAUUUUAAGGUGUUACAUAAAUAGUUCAGAGAAAUAUGUUUGAUUGCUACUACAAUAAAAUUUUUAAAAGUUAGCAACUUGAUAAAUAAGUUUAAAGAGAAUAAAUUGAAAGGAAUCACUAUAAAGAGAAUCUUAGGGAAAAAAAACUUUUUUAUUGAGUUUCAAGUGGAUAGGAUGAAAAAAUGUUCCUUAAGCGGGGAUGAGAUUGGAUAUUGAGGUGGUUUAAAGAGGCGGAACCAGGGCCAUGUCUAGAUUAUAUGAUAUUUAGAUUACUAGGUAAUGGUGAUGGAAGUCUCUCUUCAUAGCUAGAAUAUGAUAAUAAUUUAAAACAUUGUUGUUCCAGGGGACAGGUCGCAUCAAUGGAAGAUUCACUCAUGAAAAGUUACGAUUACAAUAAAAUUACUACAAAGCUUUUAAUUAUUUAGUUGAGUUGUAUUAAGGAGAUUUUGAUACUCAAUUACAGAAAAUUCCAUAUUAGAGUUUUAUAAUGCAAUGAUAUCUUUAAUUCAUUAUUUUUGUUUGGAAAAUGAUUCUAAUCAAUCCAUUUCUCGUGUCAUCUAGCAUUGAAUCAAGUGGUUCUAAUGAUCGGAGAAAGAAACUAGGAAAGAUAAAGAAACAAGUUCAUAUUAGAGGUGGAGAAGGUGAAAGAGAACAUAGGGUGCAUUUAAAUUAACUGGUUCUAAUGAAUUGACUUAAGGGAUUUUAAAUGUCAGACAUACUAAUGGAGAAAGGGAGCAUAGUAUUUAGCAAUUAGGUAUGUAGCCAUAAAGGAGCAGAUGUUGGUGAUCCAUGUAGAGGUAGCUAUCAAGAAAUAUUGGUAACUGAAAAUGGCCACUAAGGAUGAAGGAGAGCUUAGUGCGUCAACAUUAGAUCGAGACAAUUCAUAGGUUUUUUAAAUUAAGACGGUUUAAAUUCUUUGUAAAUUGGUGCAACUAGGUUAUGAUCAAAUCCUUAGAGAAUGAAAAUAAAUGUAACAUCCAUGAAAUUAGCGGAAUACAUAAUGAUAGGUCUGACUUUUAAAAACAAGGAAAGUGAAAACUCUUCAAAAGAUCAAAGAUGAACUUUGGUCGAGAGUGGCUAUUAGAAAUUUGAGGGAAAAAGAAAAGACAGUGUGAAGGAAAAAGGUGCAAUCGUUGUUUAACAAAAGUAAAAAGAAAAAAAAAUUACACCAAUAAGUCUUUUAUUGAUUUCAAUAUUAAACGAGGAGCUCUUUGGAUUAUCGACAAAUGUUGAUGAUAACAAUUAUAAACGAAUUGAUUUAUCUUGAAAUCAAGGAUAUAUGAAAUGGUGUUUUUAGGUUUGUGCAUAAUUCUUUUUUUAAAAACUAAUGUUUUGGGGUUUACUUAACAGGGACACAAGUUUAGGUUUAUGGCUGGCUUUUAUUAAAAGAACAGUGGGUGUGAAAAUUUGUUGAAAUUGUAUGGCCUUUAUGCAUGUAUUUUAUGGGAUUGGUUAGAAAAAAUUCGGAUGAGAUAUUAGAACUUAAAAACCUUAUUCAAGGGCAAUGGUAAUGGUCACUGUAUAUGUUAAAUACAAAACUCAUGUGAUAAGAUCUUAGAGCCUUUAACAAUCAUUUGGUCGAAGAGGGAAAAGGAUGUAGAACAUGUUCUACCCUAACUUCAAUGAAUUUAUUUAUGAUGGGAAAUUCGUGAAUUUAUUAAUAAAAGGGAGAUUGUUAUUUCCUAUUGCACUCAUUUUUAGAUUUAAGUGUAGAAGCAGUGGGAAAUUUUCAUUUUAGCUUUACAUCUAUUUUUCACUUUUUUUAAUUUUUGAAUUUGUCAAUCUUCUUUUUUUUUUUUUUUGGUUAAAUCACUCAAAAUGAAUAAAACUUUACUGAUGUGGUAUAAAUUGUUAAACAAAGUUAAUUUUUCCAUUUAUUCUAAAGUGAUUUGAUAAAGUAUUUAAGAUUAAGUCUUAAAAUGAAGUUAACUCUUUAUGUUUAAAAAUGUAUGAAUUUGAUGAUAUAUGUUUUUUGAUGAAACAAAAAUUAUAAAGGAGAGAUGAAGCAUAUCCAUGAUUUGGUGGUAGAGUUUUUUGUGUAUGUUUUAUUUCGGUAAUAGCUUCUAAGCUGGUUAUAGAUGGUCUUUUUAUCAUCAUAGUCAACAAACAUAACAUACAUACACGCCACGGAAACAGAUAUAUGGAUUUGUUUUCAUUUUCAUACGCUUUUCAGUACCAGAAAAUGUCUUAAGCUUGUCAAAGCGCAAAAGGCUAGGAAACUUCCUUCCUUUGCCCUUUUAGUUUUAUAUAUAUCGAUCUGUUUUCAUUCUCAUUUUUAUAUUUUUAGCUUACUUAUCGUAAGCGAGUGGUCUUAGCUUUGUCUUCACAUAUCCCAAAUUCUACCCUUUUAUCCGACACUUUACUGGAUCUUCAAGAAAAUUGCUUCCCUUUUUUUUUUUUACAUUAUCGUAUCUCUCAACAUUCAGCUCUUUCUUUCCUUUUUCUAACUUUUUAAGGUUCAAACAUUUCAGUCACUGCUACUCCGUGCUUAUCUGGUUGUUAGCGGAUUACUGAACUUUCAUCGAAAUUGUUCAUCCGGAUCAUGUGUUGGGUGUGAAUUUGUUUUGUUAGUGAGCUUUUCAGGAAAGGGUAGUCUUAGUUUUGUUAUAUAAGGGCAAUUGCUGUUAUUGGAGAUCUGGGUUUUCUUUUAUUGAUUUGAAGAUGGGGAUAUCAGAUGAGAAAGUGGUUGCUGUGAUCAUGGUGGGUGGACCCACGAAAGGUAUGGCCCUGAUCUUACGGUGAAAUUUGUCAUCUUCAAUGUUAUGCCUUGCUUAUUUACAAUUCCGUUUCGGAUUAUUUGGAUCGGAUAUGGAGUUUUGUAUGCAGCGAAUGAUGUGAUCUAGUCUUUCUUUCUUUUCGUUUAUGUUCAGACUUUGAUGUCAAAUUGAAUCUUUUUCUUUCUCAAUUAUUUGCUGGGGAUCUUCGACUGAGAAUUGUAAUGCAAUUUUUAAAAUUCCCUUUGAAUUUGCGGAUUGCAGGCACUCGGUUUCGUCCAUUGUCAUUGAACAUUCCAAAGCCUUUGUUUCCUUUGGCUGGACAACCUAUGGUUCAUCACCCCAUUUCUGCUUGUAAAAGGGUACAAUGUUGGAUCUAUACUAACAGAAUAUGAAAAAUGCUCUUUUGGUUUAUAGUUUCUGGUAUGUAUUAAGAUUAAUAUCUCUGCUGUAGAUUCCAAAUCUAGCACAGAUUUAUCUAGUCGGUUUCUAUGAAGAGCGUGAAUUCGCUAUGUAUGUCUCAUCAAUCUCUACUGAGCUAAGAGUUCCAGUCAGGUAAAUCCUUGCUUUAAAUUUAUACAUUCUCAUGAGGGGAUUGAUAUGUCUUUAUGGUUGCUUCAUCUUAGAGUUAAUCCUUUUUGUUCUUGCUGUUAUUAGAUACUUAAGGGAAGACAAACCACAUGGUUCAGCUGGUGGGCUUUACAACUUCAGAGAUCUGAUCAUGGAAGAUAAUCCGGUUUAUAUCCUAACCUAUUUCCUUCUUAGAGGCAUAUCUUUCAUAGAGAAAAAUACACAGGCUGUAAUCUGCUUGUUUGUCCAUAUUUACUUUACUUUGACAAAGUUAUAUGUGUUGUGUGCUUUUGUUUUUGCAGUCUCAUAUCUUCUUGCUGAAUUGUGAUGUUUGCUGCAGUUUUCCACUCCCAGAAAUGCUUGGUAAUCUUCUUCACAAUGUUUGAACCCCGUAAUGUAUCAAUCUUAAUUUUCUGAAUAUAGUUUCUUGCUGCUAUCAUGCUAUGUAGUGUGUUCUGCGUUGCAAAAACUCUAGUGUCAAUCUUUUAGGACUAAUGGCUAGUUUAGCAUUGCUUUUGAAAAGGUUGCUAUUACUGUCAAAAAGUGCUUUUGAGAAAUAAAAUAUUCAUCUUAGGCAUGAUGUUGUAAAGUAAAAAAAAAAAGCAUUUAAAUGAUGUUCAAAUUCAUUAAUAUUAAGAUAUUUCAGUAAAAAUAUUAAAAAAGGAAUUUGUUGUAACUCAUUAUUAAUAUUUUGAUAUAUGAAAUUGAAAUAUAAUUUUUAAAUACUUUUAAGUGAUUAAUAUUGACUAUUUAUAAAAUUUAAUUUGAAUAUAUAAACUAUAUUUUAAAUAUUAAUGUAUAACCAUUACAAAUACAAAUAUAUAAUGUUAUAUAUUUGAAAUAAAUUUCAAAAGGGGAAAUAAUUGUGUACCCAAUAUAAAUAUUACACAAGAUACAUUGGAUUAUAAAUAAGGCUUAAAAUUGUCAUUUAACUCCAAAAGUGCUUUUUUUCCAAACUUAAAAGCUAUAAAUUUUGGCUUUUGUGUUGGGUUCAAAAGCACUUUUGGCCUCAAAAGCUAUUUAUUUAGCAUUGCUUAUGGCUCCGAAAGUGCUUUUGAAAAGCAAUGGCGUACAAAGCCUAACUGCAAUUAGCAGUGGCGCGGAUAAAAUUACUGCAAAGUUUAUUUAUGUUUAUUUUGUCUUCCUUGAAGAUUAAUUCUUCCUUUUACCUGUUUUUUGCCUUCAUAGAGGCUCACAAAAGAUAUGGUGGUAUGGGAACUAUCCUAGUAAUCAAGGUUGGUUGUCGUGGUGUGAUAUUUUAAGACUUGUAUUUUCUUUUGUCAUUUGGCCUUAUUCUCCUCUAUUUGCAGGUUUCAGCUGAAUCAGCCAGUGAGUUUGGGGAGUUGGUAGCAGAUCCCAUCACCAAUGAACUGUUACAUUAUACAGAGAAACCUGAAACUUUCGUAUGUGCAGUAUCAGAGAUUCAACUACAAUUUGGAAUAUUCUCUAUUUAUUGUUACUUUGAUUGAAUUUAAUGGAUGCUCUGCUCCAAUUACUUGCCAUCAUGCAGGUAAGUGACCGAAUCAACUGUGGUGUCUAUGUGUUUACACCAGAUAUUUUUACUGCUAUCCAAGGUGUUUCCUCUCAACGGAAAGACAGAGGUCAGUAAUAAACAAUCUUUAAAUUGUGCUUCUAAUUUCAAAGUAGCUAUGGCUAUGUACUCAUUGGAAACAUAAACUGGAUUCACUGGCAUCUUUCUUUUUCUUUCUCUUUUCUUUCUUUGUGGAUUAUUUCGUAGGUUAGUGUUUUUUUUCCCUUUUGAAGCUAUGCCAUUUUUCUGCAUCCUUAUCAGUAGAAAUUUUUUCUUUGCUCAGAUCCCCAUUAUAUCUGAAUAUCAUUAAUCUUCAUUGUACUAAAAUCUCAAUUCAUGUUUUGCCAUCUCUAGCCAAUCUGAGACGUCUUUCCAGCUUUGAAGCCCUCCAGUCUGCUACAAGGUAUGUCUGUUCUUUUCUUGAUUUUAUAGCAUUACAGCAUACUAGGUGCAUACUUCAUUCGCUUCUCUUUCUGUCAUUAUGAAUCACACAAGUAAAUAUUCACUUAGUUUAUUUCACUUCUUCUCUAUCUCCAUUCAAAUCAACCUAUGCUGAUGAAGUUAUGAUAUGUGGCAUGCCAUCUUUUUUACAUUUUCCAUGUAUUCUACCUCAACAAUCUUGCUGUUGACACAAAAUUCUAAUAAUAGAUUAAUGAUGUUUAAUUUUUUUUCAAAGCCAUUGAAACAUCCAUUUGAUCAUUUGACAUUUUUUUGAGGGGGGCGGGGGGCUAUAAAACAAUAGUUUACACUCACUUCUUUAGUUGGUGCUGGAAUCUAAAUGAAACUAAACCGCACACUUAUAUUCCUCAGGCUGUUUCAACCCAUAUUUUGAUUUUUAGUACUGGUUGUGCCUUUCUUUGGCGUUCUUUUAUAUAGAGAAAUAUUUGUCUUUAUGUUGGAACCUCAACAUGUAUCCUAAUAAGAGCUCCUAUUACCAGGAAUCCUCCGUCAGAUUUUGUAAGGUUGGAUCAAGACAUCCUUACCCCUUUUGCUGGGAAGAAGAAGUUGUAUACAUAUGAGACCAUGGAUUUCUGGGAACAAAUCAAAACACCGGGGUAAGCCAAACUGUGGUAUGGUGCAAUUUGUUUCAGUAGCUUCCGCCUCGUUUUUCUUCCCCUUCUUCAUUUUACCCCCUAGUUUUUGUAUUAUUUUUUUAAUGAAAACAUAGAAACCAACAUUAAAAUAAAAAAAUAAAAAAAUCAAACAAAAUCCAAGUGAAUGCGUAAUAAAAUGAACAAGCCAAUCAUAACUUCCCCUUCGACUAACCCUGAUUUUUCCAUGUUCACAUCUGCAGAAAGUCCUUAAAGUGUUCUGGCCUGUAUCUUGCACAAUUUCGGUUCACCUCUCCCAAUCUUUUGGCUAGUGGGGAUGGUACAAAAAGUGCCACCAUUAUUGGCGAUGUUAAUAUUCAUCCAUCAGCAAAAGUACAUCCAAGUGCCAAGGUAACAUCUUUUUCAUUGCGUUUUAAUCAUGAUGUAUGAUGGAGAGUAGAGUGCUGCUGUUCUAGGUAAUUUGUCUAUUAAAGUGUUCAUUUGUUUAAUGGACUGUUUUAAGUGGGUGAUAAAGUAUAUGUUACCGACACUUAUAUGCUAUUUGCCACAUUCCCUAAAUGCUUUUCAAAAAUAAUAUUAGCACCCACAGAGAUUAGAAAACUAUUUCCCUCCCAUGUUUGUGCUACUCCUUACGUUAUAUGAGCAUUCUUUUUCUUCUGUUGCCUGCAUCAUCUAUGGGAUUGAUUGCUAGUGCUACAUGGUUAAACAGAUCGGUCCCAAUGUCUCAAUAUCUGCUAAUGCGCGUAUAGGAGCAGGUGUAAGGCUCAUUAGCUGUAUCAUUCUUGAUGGCGUUGAAAUCAUGGUAUGCAACCGAAUUCAAUGUUUUCAAAUUGCUUUAAAAACAUUGACUGAGGUCCCCUUGAAUCUGACACAUGAUUGAUUUGCUUUGUCCAGAUUGAUGACUCAGUUAUUUUGUUUUCAGGAAAAUGCUGUUGUUUUUCAUGCAAUUGUAGGGUGGAAGUCUUCUAUCGGGAAAUGGUCCCGUGUUCAGGCAAGUUUAACUUAUGGUUAUUUUUACAUGAUAUUGAUGACUAAAAGCUAUGUUAUAUUAGACUUUUUUUACAAGUGUUCAACAUAUGUGUCUAAUACAUAUUCGGAUGUGGGUUUGAGGUAUGAUCGGAAAUAAAAAUUUGAGCAUAUCCUUUCUGGAUUCAAAGCUAUAUUCAACACUCACUCCCGAGUCUAGGUAACCUAGGCUGAAUGUUCUUCAGACUGAUGAUGAAUACCAGCCUCCAUAAAUUUCCUCUCAAGAUUGUCUCCUGUCGAAUGACUCUUUCUUGCUCUUCUACCUGCCAUUUUUACGCUAAAUUCAAAUCGACUCGACUCAUUGCAGGCUGAAGGAGACUAUAAAGCAAAACUCGGAAUCACAAUUCUUGGUACUUUGCAAACAUUGCCUUUUGUUUUAUUUUUCCGUUUCCUUUACGUAAGACAACCUGUUAAUCAUAUUCGCAUAUCUGUUACAGGAGAAGCAGUGACUGUUGAAGAUGAAGUCGUGGUCACCAAUAGCAUUGUUCUUCCGCACAAGAUGUUAAACGUCAGUGUUCAAGACGAAAUACUAUUAUGAUAUUUGUAUCCGCUCCCGUUUGCCGCCUCUAGGCUCCCUCCUAUUUCGCAGCCCCUUUAUCUACCCUAGUUGUGAUGUAAUGGUUGCUACUGUGCAUUUUGUGAACUAGGGAAAUCAGUAGUAUUUCUUAAUUUUUACUCGUAUGUAUAUUGAGAUGCUCAAAUUAGAAUAAAAUUCAACCGAUGUUUCAUUUGGUAUCCUUUAAUCUGACUCAUAUUUGGGAUUCAUAAUUGUUUCUCUUACAUGCUGAGCUGAGCGUGGGGUAAAUUCUGCGACCCACCUUGGAUGGAAGUUUUAUAUAGUCAAAAUAAUAGGAAAUAUUUUUAUUUAAAUUUAAUUAUUAAACUAUAUAAAUAAGAUUCGAUUCCCUUAUACUUACUAAAAUAUUAAUGGUAUAAAAAAAUUAUAGAAAUACCUAAAAUUACUUUAGUUAAUCAGACUUUUUGGCUGACCUGAAAGAUACAAGGAAAAAGAACUUGCAGGCCUCCUCUACGCAUAUGCUACUUCUAUGAGAAUUCCAUUCAUUUUAAAAUGAAAUCUUAAUAAUAAUAAUAAUAAUAAUAAAACAUACAGAAUUUACAGUAGAUGAAAUUUAAACUUUAACUUGACAAUACUAGAGAACCUUUAAAAGAACAUGCUCUUUGUUGUUAUAUUUAUUUUAAUAGUAUGAUUAUAUUUGAUCUAUUUUAUAAUUUACCAUGUCAGUAUUUUUAACAUACCAAACUCAAUAUAACGCAAGAAAUAGUAGUAUACAUGAUACAAGUUCCACAUUAUACUAUUUUAUAAGAUGCCAUAUUGAAAAUUUUCUUAAAAUACCUAAAGGUCAAAUACGAUAUUAAACCUACUACAAAAUGUGAGCGUUUGUUAUGGAGGGAGAAAAACAAAAACAAUGUCAUGUUCAUGUUCAUGUUCAUGUUCAUGUAGAUUAUAAGUCAAAUGCAUGUAUAUAUCAGUCAAUCAUCAUCAUCAUCAUCAUCAUCAUCAUCAGAACUUGCAUAGGCUAAGCCUAAUAAGGAUUUGGUAGACUUUCCCACCUUAUUCUGCUUUUCUGCUGUAUUUGAUUCCGAAACACAAUGCCCAACCUUCUUCUCAUGGUUGGACUCCUGCCCCUGAGAUUGUAAAUUGGAUUGAUUCCCCUCAGGCUCAGAGCUGGAGGGAGAUGAAAUUUUGGGCCGUUUCGGUUUAACUUCCACAACUUUUUUCAGCAAAUCUUGCUGUCUGCAAAACAAAGAAGAUAACAGAAAAUGGUAAAUUAAAAUAAUAAUAACAUAACAGUGUCCAGAAAUAUAAAUAUAACUAUAAAUAUUUUAUAAGUGAGAGAGAGAGAGAAACCUGAUUCCACUCUUUGGCUUGGGUUCAACUCGAAGAGGAAGAGGAAAGGAUGCAGGUGAGGAAUCUGCUAAACUUGCAGCUUUGUGUCAAGUGGUUAAGAAAAAGUGAGCACCAAUAUAAAACAUGUACUAGGUAGACAAAACUAUACAGUAUUCAAGAUCAACUUUGUGUGAUAUGAAACAACUCGUCAAGUAAUCUAAUGCAACUGAGAAAACAAAGUGGGAACUGAUGCUAGAAUUCUAAGACAUGCAACAUAGAAAGUUGAACUUCUACUGAUAACGAUGUUGAUGUUAAAACAGUUCACUUGAGAAACCAACAAUUUCUUCCUCCUCUUUCAAAGUAGUAAUUGCAAAUAGAAAACAACAAACUCAAAUGAACACAAAUUCAAGAAAAAGACGAUUACUUUCCACUGACGAAUCAGCUGCUAGGUUUGCAACAAAAUCAAAGCAAACCAGAGUAGCAAUGAACAAUUGGACUCUGCUCAACCUAAACUGCGUGAUCUAACACAAGAGAAACACCAUAACAAACAAAAUAACUUUCAUUUUCUUUAACAAUCAUGAGCUCUUCGCGAAUAAAAGUUACAGGGAUGAACCUACAUAUUUCAGCACAUAAUACUUUAAACAAAAUCAUGCUCAUCCUAUGUCUUUUACCAAGUGGCAUAAAAUGUUGUAAGAAGCAAACACAAAGCAGGCAACAAGCAAGAACAAUGACAAAUAUAAUAAAAAUGUGGCAAGAAACCAAUGCACUAAAAGCACGUGGCAAUGAAUUCAAUUAAUUAUUUGCCAAAUAAAAGGUCAAAAUCUACAUGGCAUGGGGAGCAAGAGUCACAAAAAAUGUUCAAAAUAGGAUAUCUUAAAUGCAGCAAAUGCCCGUUUCUCGGUACGGCGCAGGAGGCGUUCAGCAUCCUCCUCUGCUUCCAUCUGCUCCUUGAGAUAGAGUAAAUCAUCACUGUCCAAAGCUGCAUAAAUAAUACAUAAUAAUAUAUAGAUUUAUCAAAAGAAAAAUCUAUUGGGGUCUCAAGAUGUAGGGACAGAUAUAGAAGAGCUACCGCCUCGCCCAUGUAGGUAGCCUCCACGUUCUCCAGCAACCUCUUGCAUCUGCUUGUAUCAAAAGCCCAAUGGGAGAAGCCAAGAUCCCUGCCAGGGCAUGUUAUCAGAAAACUAAGCAAAUUUGUAUUUAUAGUAAGAAAUUGAUGCCAGCCAGAUUUAAUUCAACAAGUAAAUUAUUAAAAUUAUAGCAAGCAUCAUCAUUCCUUCCACUUCUAGUCCUAGAACUGUCAAAGAUAUAUUAUAUCUUACUAGCUCUUCAUUUCCUUUCAAGUACUAGCAUCUACCACACAUUUGACAGCUAUGAGCAUACAGAUUUAAACCUCAUAAUAUAGGGCAGAACUUAGAAAAAAUUAAAAUGCCCUUAAUACAUAGUCAUAUCCAAUACUCACCCAAGUCCAGAUCACACAAGGCAUAAUAUGCCAUGGUACAUCUAAAUAAUCUAGAAAAACUUGCAAGCACACUCUUGUACCUUCAAACAAAUAUCUAAUUGAACCUUGAACUUUAGAUGAUAGAACUGGCAUUAGCAGCAAAGGAAAAUUGAGAUAAUUGAAAUGAUUAAAGGAAUUAGCAUUAAAUAGAGCCACAAAUGAAAAGGCCAACCAAAGUCGUACAUAUUAAGGCUAUGCUUGUUUUACAUUUGGAAAACAAAACCCUUUUCUCAGUAACAGUAUGAAUUUUGUUCUCUGGAUGAAACUAUUGACAAUACUUUCCAUUGUUUGCCAUCUUUGAAACACUUUAUCGGUAAUCUAAACCCUAGCCCUCUACAUCAAAACCCACAAACUACCAUAAGAUUAUCAAGUGCUCAAAUUUGUAUGGAAACCUGUUAAAGCUACCUGAAUCAUUCCUUUUUAUCAAUCAAUAAAUUUUCACCAUCACCAUAGCCAAGUUAGGCAAAAUUUCUGAGCAAAUUAAUCAAAGCUUAUAAAAUAUAAAAAAAUUAGAUGCUAACCAAAAAAUGAAGUCCAAACAAAUGAGAAAUGGAGCAGCAAUUAAUGAAAAUAGAAAUAGAAAAUGGUUGACAGUGGUUGAGGAAUGAAAAGAUGGGUUGUGACUUAUUGAACUUGGCAGCCACAAAAUACCACAACAAGGGAUUCAGAGCUAUAUGGAAAAUUAAGGAAAGAGAGUAAUGUCGGAGGCAAAGAGGGAAGAAGAGAACAUGGAAAAGGAAGGCAGGUCGUAGACAUAGCAAAGGAGUAUGAGAAAAAGGAGAGGGCUGUUGUAGGCAGCUAAAAACAGCGGUGUUGGUGGAUAGUUGGUAAUGAGAGGGUCCGUGUGGUGAGUGUCAGGGAAAUAUGGGUCUUUGAUGACUAACAAGAGAUUAGGUUUUCUUCUCUCCUUCCAAAAUUAUCUUGUGGAUUAAAAAGAAGAAAAUUUCACCAAUCUAUUAGGUAGACCAUUUAAAUUUCGGCCAUAAAAACCAGAAACUGAGAUAAAUGGAUUUCCCAAAGUCAUUUUCAGCAAAACAAAUGGCAAUCUCAUAAUCUAUUGAUUGGGUUGAAUGCUCUCUAGGAUGUAUGUAUAAGAACAAAGAAACAAGACAGUGAAUUGAUAAUGGUUUCUGUCAUAUGAAUGAUGUUACGUAUGAGAUAACACCAGCCAUUGUGUCCCAUUGGACAACAAGAGCUCUUUCACUGAAACGGUAAGGGAUUCUAGAAACUGCAGAUUCCAUUAAAACAAUCGAUAUCCAAAAGAAACCAUAAGAGAAGGUCCAAAGCGUGCGGGCAGGUUCGCAUAACACAAUUCCCAUAAAACCAAGGAAAAAUAAUAAUCAAAUUCAGGAGGAAGGAAAAAGAUGGGAGAGGCGACGCUCUAACCUUGGCAACCAUACGCUGGAAAGCAAUAUCUUCAUCGUCCAGUUUGUCCUUUCCUUUGCCCCACCUUUUAUCUGCAAUUAAGAUUUUUAAUCAGUAGAAAGAACAAAGAACAAAUCGGGAACCUACGAUUCAAGUUUCGAUUUUCAUACUUGCCUUUGGGGUCGCUCAGAUUGGUGUACUCACGAACUUCUCUCCCUGCCAUAUCUCAAGAACACAGCAAAACAGCAAAUCAAGAAGAGAAACUUGGGAUUUUUAUUCCAAAACCUAACUGGGAAAUUUUUGUCUUGGGGGAUUAAAUUAAAUCCAAGUACACGACACUAGCGUCGAACACAAACCAAACGUCCCUUCUUUGCUUCCCGUCUUUCGGGUGCUUGACCCAAGUGCCGCAGAUUCGAUUGGGCUUAGACGGAUAAGGGCCCUUACAGGCUAUAUCACUAAAGUUAGGCCUUACUUCUCAUUGUCAUUUCGAUCCAAAACGCAACGUAAACAUAAUCCCGGAUUACUUUUUAAGGCUUAACGAUUAAAAAAGCUUUUAAUGUGAGAUUGUUGGCUAAGGAAAUUUGAUGAGAAGAUGAUGAUAAUGCUACGGACAUGUUUGGUGUCUUACUAAGUUUUUUUUUUUCAGUUCGAGUAAUGCGGGCGAAAAUGGGUUUGGGGGGUGGGUAACCGGGUUGGGUUGGGUUGGGAAAUUUUUUAUUUUAGUUUUUUUUGGGUGGAAUUUGUUAAUACCAUUAAUUAUUGUGUUUAAUUUUAAAAUUGAUAGAGAUUAAAUUGUUCCAAUUUUUUUUAUUGAAACUAAUUUGCUCAAUUUCAAAAUUGAUAACAGCUAGGUAAGUCUUUUACGAAAGCUAUAGAUUUUGUUACCAAAGAUAACCGUGGUAACUUUUUAGUAUUUAAUUUAGAUUUUAAAAUUAAUUUGAUAAAAAUCCAUAAUCAACUAAUAAUAUUAACAAUUAACUUUCAUCAAAUCAACCUUAAAAUCAAAAUUAAAUCACAUCAUCAAAUUGUAUUUGACAAACUAAACGCAAAAUUGAAUAAAUUUGUAAUUAACACAAAAUUUAUUCUAUUAAUAAAAUUAUAAAAAAAUUAAUCUAAUAAUAUUAACAAUUAACUUUUAUAAAAUCAAUCCUAAAACCUAAAUUAAAUACUAAAAAGUUAUCAUUACCUUUUAAUACCAAAAUAUAUAUUUUUUGUCAAAUAAAUUGAACCAAAAAAUAACACAAACACCACAUUAAAAAAAAUUCAAACUUGAAUACCAAAUAAUAAACUAAACCGCAAUUCUUAUAGUUAAUUAUUUUGAUUGGUUAAUAAAUUAUGAACUAAUCUUUUAUAUCAUAAACAUUAAUUAAAUAUUAGCACGCAUCAUUAUUAUAUAUACACAUUUUUAUUUAGAAAAUUGAUGAAUUAAUUAUUUAAAUAUAUAAAAUCUUUGAAUCCUUUAAUUUAUAAAUUUUUACUUUUUAAAAUAAAGAUAAAUUUAUUUUUUAUAUGAAAUGAUUUUAAAAUGUAUAAAUUAUUUUAUUUUUUAAAACAUUUUCAAUAUUAUUUCUUAGCAAUAUUUUAAAUAUAUAUUUAAUAUUUCUAUCGAUUUAAACAUAUAUUUUAAUAUCUUUCACGUGAGUUAAAACUAAUUAUAAGAAAAAUUACUAAGUUCUAUGCAUAAGCACAUAUUUUAAUACAUAAAACUAAGCCAUUCAUCUCAUAGAUCACAAACCAUAAUACAUUCAUACAUGUCUAUGUAUGUAAAUGUAUAUAUUGAAAAAAAAGGUACAGUAGACUUGAUGCAUAGAUGUUGGAGUCUCUCAUAUUUGAGUUCUAUGAACGAUAAUCCUGCCUUCUCAUUAAUCACUUCACUACAUGCCAAUCCUCUCAUAAAAUACUAACUCUUUAAUGGAUCUUACCUUAUGUCCUCGAUGGUUUAUUUAUUCGAACAGCCCCCAAUACUCUCACAGCUUUGAUGGCGAGCGAUACCACCCCCAUGGUUCAUCAGAGACAUACUGCGUGACCUGCUUCACACUCAAGUAAUUGUCGAGACCCCUGUAGAAAAACCAACCAGUUCUUAGAAAGAGUCCCUAUUUUCUUUUGAGUGAGGAAAUUAAAACAUCAGUUUCAUGCAAGGUUUUCAAAAUUGGACCAAUGAUCAAACCGGUCAGAACACCAGUUCCCAAUCCGGCUGAUCUGUCCGAUUCGAUUGAAUAGAUUCUUAAAAAAUCAUAAAAAUUUAAAAAAUAAUAAUAAAACAGAAAAAACCGAUUCAACCGGUCAAACCCCUUAUGCAGGACUGGUACCCAGGCUGAUCUGGUCCAGUUUUGAAAACAAUGGUUUUGUGAUGCAAGGAGCACAUAUAUGCUUAGCAUUUAUAACAAUGAAACCGUAAGAGGACAACUAAUAAGAUGACACUGUUAUAAUAUAAUUUGGAUAGUCGGAGUGCGUACCAUUCCCCGAGUUCACGCCCAAAGCCACUGCGUUUAUUGCCUCCCCAUGGAGCUUGACAGAAGCAUGGCUGUGAACAAUUGACCCACACAAUUCCAGCUUGGAGAUUCUGCAAAACAGGAGGGGGAGAAAUCACUAAUAAAUAGUUUACAACAUGAAAACUAAUUUUCACUCUAAUUUUUCACUUUUUUUUUUCUCAUUUUCUAUUCUAUCAAGCACACCCUUAAGGUGCAUAAUAGCUAAAAGCUUCAACUACCGACUAUUAACAACUCUCACCUUGCUUACACGAUCACAUCUUUCCAGGUCAUUUGAUAUCACGGCAGCACCCAAACCAUAACUGGAAAUUAAAAAGUAUAUAGAAAUCAGAGACAUUUUAUGGUAUUAACCAGACAAAAUAGCAAUUCACUGCACUUCAACACGAGAAUUCGGCAACUUACUGGGUGUCAUUUGCCAGUUCAAGGGCUUCCUCUUCUGUACUAAAUGUCUUGACACAAAGAACAGGUCCAAAAACUUCUUCUCUCCAGAUUUGCAUGGAAGUUGUCACAUCAGUUAUUAUAGUUGGUUCAACAAAAAAUCCCUUCUUUAAAUGCUGUCAAAUAGUUCUCAAAUAUGAGAAGUUUAGACAGAUAAACAGUGUUAAUAACAAGCAGCAGCAGCAAAUACCUCAGGACGAACUCCACCACUCAAAAUGGUAGCACCUUCACUCUUAGCAGUUGAGAUGAAUUUCAAUACUUUCUCAUACUGCAACCAAUGAAAUAAAAUUUGAGCAACUACUGAUUGUGAAAAUAUAGGUAUUAACAUGUCUAACAAUCCACUCAUUUAGUAACAUUUCCGAAUCACCCAUAUUUACAAAUUCACUAUCUAUAUCUCACCCCAAUACCUAUCAAGAGAAUCAUAGACACUGAAGAAUGUAAAAUACCAACGUGGAUUUAACAAAAAGCAUUAAUGAGACAAAAGGAACAAGGGUGGAAUAGUUUAACAUUUCUAACUGGUACGGCUUCCCAUUCCAAUAGAAGAAAAGGAAGAAGGCAAAAUGAUACAUAUUGCUCAAACAGAACCCUUACCUGUCCUCCACUAACAACGGGGCCAAGCCUGCAUCCUUCUUCAAAGGGAUCAGAAAUCUUAAUGUUUUUAGUCCAUUUCACAAGCCUGUCCAGAAAUUCUCUCACAAUGUUUUCCUGAGACAUUUGAACAUUGCAGUUUCACAGUGAGAAGAGGGGACCAAGAAGGAAAAGGAAAAGGAACUAGGAUAGACUUCUGAUUAAAUAAAAUACUUUCGUACAUCUGUUAUAUGAGAUUUCAGCUGCCAGGGCAUAAAAAUAAGCUUGCUUUAUCUAUUGAACAGAAACGAGUUACAUUUACAGCUCUUGCUCACUACAUCAGGAAUGAGAAAUCAUGUCUUCCAAAAAUAACUACAAAGAGCCCCAAAAAAUUUCAGCACAAUAUUCCAAUUGAUAUGAUGUUUAAGCCCAUAGCACCAAAUUUACAGAAGAGCAGUGGGCAAUAUAGAGGUACGUUCACAUGGCAACACUGUUUGCUUAAGCAAAUAAAUUGUGAUAAAACAUGUAAGGAGGUGAAAGGUGCAUAAAGUUCUGAUUACAGCUCUUAGUGAUCUUUCUGAAUUAAUAGUAAUCAGUUGAACAGCAAAAUGAUGAUAGAUCUGGCUGGGUCACUGUAUUUGAUUUCCAUUUUUCAAGUGCUUCCCUGAAAUAGUAUGUCCAGUCUGGUCGCUGACCUCACGUUAGGCUUUUGACAUUUGAGAUUGGGGUCCAAGGGAAGUUAAUUUGCAUGGUUAUUUAAUUUCCAAACAAGAUACACUAAGGAGCCCCUCUAGGUUGUAUGGUGUAUACAACCUUGUUUCCGAUCAUACAACUACUCCCCUUCCAAGUAUUGAACCAAAAGUAAAUAUGGCAUUAUGAAAACAUAUUUCAGAACCGUAUAAAGAAAGAACUAACAAUAUCAUCAAGCAACUUACGUGUACAAUAAGACGGGAUGUUGCACUGCAAAUCUGUCCAUUUGUCCAGAAGCAACCAAAUGCAGUCCAUUCAGCAGCUAUUGAAUCAAAAAGAAUUUUAUUAAACUUUAUAAACAUGAAGUCAGGGAAAAAAACCAUCAUGCUGUACGGUUUUUGUAAGAUGAUAGGUUUCAGAAUCCAACUGUACGGAAACAUAUGCUUAAACUGUAAUUCAGAUGGCACUAACCUUUGUCAAGGUCAACAUCCUCAAACACAAUAAUUGGGCUUUUCCCACCAAGCUCUAAAGAAACAGGCUGACAAAGAAAGCACAUAAGUAUUUGUGCACAGAAGGAAAUAAAGUGAUUAUGACCACAAAAUGGGAGAAAAGGAAAAACAUUUUUGUUUCCAGAACUUUAAUAUACCUUCACCAUUUGAGCAGCUGCUGCCAUUAUCUUGCUCCCUGUUGCACUGCUUCCAGUAAAGGCAAUCUGCUUAAAACCAAGUAUUAAAAUUUAUACCAAAAUUGAUAUUUAUCUUAUAAUAGUCAAUAACUGAAAUCAGAAAGUCAUAGAAAAGCAUCAAUGGAAUGAAAACAAUUGAACCUUGUCAACAUCUGGAUGAGAUGCCAAAGGAGCGCCAGCUUCAGGGCCCAGCCCAGUCAGAAUGUUCAGGACACCAGGAGGAAGACCGACCUCCCUACACACUUCAGCCAGCUCCAAGCAGGUGCUGGAAAGUAAAAAUGCAUACAUAAUUAGCAGCAUUGUUGGUUCCAAAUGAAAAAUAUAAACAAAUGCUCUCAAGUUCUUAUAUAACAGACAAAUUACUGCAACUAAGUUAAGAAUGUACAUAGAUGCCAACUCCGAAGGCUUCAGUAUUGCAGCACAACCAGCAGCCAAGGAAGGAGCUACUUUCCAUGUAGCCAUCAAUAGUGGGUAAUUCCUUCAAAAAAGCAGAAACACAACAAUAUGAAAAAGCCAUUAUUAAGUGUCUUCAAGUCAGCACCGAUGUAUGAGUAGAAUGAAUUGAUAUGCAGCCUUACAACAAAAAAAAUGCGACAAUCAAGCCUGUAAGAGUAACUAAUUUAACUUGCAACUAGCACAACGGUUUUGCAAUUACCUUAAAAGCUAAAAUUAAUACAGGGGCCUAGUUUCAUGUAGUGCUCAUGCAUAUGUAUGAUGCACCAAAAAAGUAAAAGAUAAGUCCAAUGCACAAAAAUUAGCUUUCAUAAAUUGGACAAGAAAACCUAAGAAUUGAGCAAGGAUAAUGAUAAAAUCUGUACUUUUACUGGUGAAACUGAGCAGAGCAGCAUAACAACAUUUAGAAAUAGUUAUACUCCAAUUGCACAAAGAACAAUAAAAUAAAAGUACCAUGGAGUAAUCAAUCCAACAACCCCAAUUGGUUCCUUAAGCACAUAACUCUUAAAUGUCUCCAUAGGAAGAGAGACAGGAGCCUUUUGCUUUGCAUCUAAGCCUUCAGCAAGGUCUGCAUAGUACUCAAAACAUCCAGCAACAUCUUCCUGAAUGAAAUGAAUUGAACGGGUAAGAAAAUACACUAAAUACUGAAUCAUAAAACUUUCAUCAGUGUGACGAGCAUACAAUGUCCCAAACUGCUUCAUCAAGAGGUUUCCCACAAUCAAUUGCUUCAAGCUUAGCCAACUCAGUUUUUCUCUCUGUUACCUGGAUCACUCAAAUAAACACAAGACAUCAAAUCAAGCAAUACAGCCAAUUCAAAGAUCAGCAUAUUCUUCAAUUCAUUCAGAAUCAGAAAGGGCCAGAAGUUAGGAGAUCCCAAGGGAACCAUUACAAGGCUAUGGAUUGGAGGAAAUAAGACACAAACAAGUAGAUUGAAGGCUUCUCUUAUUUCAGUUUCAUAUAGCCAGAUAUGCCUCAACCGCCUGGAUGGCUUAGUUCAACAGGCAACCUACAAAUAGACUCAGCAUAUGGGAUCACAAUAUGAAAUUAUUGAUACUAUUGAGCCCCUAAGCCCUCAUAUUAAGGGACCACGUUCUCAGCAAGUUCAAAAAGCUAAAUAACAAGAUGAAAUCAUAAAACGAAUGCAAAUAGUCUAGACUCUAGACAAUCCUACACAACUAGUAAGUUCACGGCAUGUUUACCUUAGCAGCGAUGGCACGUAAAUACUUGGCACGGACAGCGCCAGGAGCGGUAGCCCAAUCCUUGCCUUUGUUUCUAGAAAGAGCUCUCCGAGCAGCCGCCACCGCAAGCUCCACGUCUUCAGCUGUAGCUGCUGGAAUGUUACCUGGAAAAAAAAACGCAUCAAACCUCAAAUUUUCAAUAAUUUCUAAAACAUUAUCCGCUAAACACCACGGAAUAAACUUAUUAAACCACUAAUCAAGAAAACUAGAAAGAUCGAUCCAAAACAUAAAAAAAGAUGCAAAAGAUAAAGAGUUCACCGAUGAUCUCUUCAGUAGCAGGAUUGAUGAUUGGGAGUCGCUUCUUGAGGAUGGGCUCUCUCCACUCGCCAUCGAUAAAUAAUUGUCGACUCGGAACUUGAACCGCCAUAUUAACUCAGUUAUUUUAGUUUCACUUCCAAUCUCAAACUUAAAAGCUUUCUGGUUUAUAAUGAAGUUGAUCGCUGUUUCUGGGUUUAUAAACCUGAUCCGGUCUCCAUCUAAAUUGUUGGAUAAUAAUAAUAAGGUUAAAAUAUGCCCUACAUCCUUGUGCUUUUCACAAAUUAGUAAUUUAGUCUUGUACUUUUAUUUUCAAGAAUUUAAUUUCCUAUUUUUUCGAUUUCAAGAUUUAAUUAUUAACACUAUUAAUUUUUUAUUAAACUUUUUGAUGUGACAUUUUAAAAUAAAAAAAUACUCACUUAGUAAUAAUGUAACUAAACAAAUGGCCUCAUAAUCAACCUGAAUUUAACAAAAUAAUUUUAACAGUGUUAACAAUUAGACCUCAAUUUUGAAAUUUAAAAAAUAAAUAGACUAAAUUUCUAGAAAUAAAAGUAUAGGGAUAAAUUUCAAAUAUACAAAGAGUUUAGGGACUUAUGGCAUAUUUAACCUAAUAAUAUUUUUUUUGUUUUAUUUUAUUUUUGGCUUAAUCCACAAAUCGAUACUUAAACUAUAUAGUUUUUCCAUCUUGGUACCUAAACUCUUUUUUUUAUCAUAAAUGAUACUUAAACUACUCUUUUUGUUUCCAAGUUGGUACCUACAUUAGUCCCGUGCUUAUUCAAACCAUUAAAUAUAUUUUAAAAAGGGGUUAACCCACAUAUUAGUAUCUAAAGUAUACCCUUUUUCUCAAGUUGGCACUUAAUUUUUUUUUGAACAAGUGGUACUUAAAUUAUUUUUCUAUUAUCCAUUUUACACCAAAAUAUUUUAUUCCUUAAAAAGAAUUUCAACCAAUAAUAAAUCGUCAAUUCAUAUAAACUUAAAAAAAUAUUUUUAAUUCUUUUAUUUUACAUUGUUUCUCUCUUAAUUUUUUUUCAUUUUCUUCUCUCUCUGUUUUCUUUCUUCUUCCUUUAUAAUGUUUGAUAAUAUUAGUAAUACUUGAAAUUUUUCCUCGAGAACGAGGCGCCGAUAAUUAAUUAUGUUUUCAAACUUCAUAACCUACUUGCUCGACCUGAUGGAAUCGAAAAAGUUAUUUCAUUGAUCAAAAAUAGUGUUUUCAUAAUCGAACCAAUCAGGGUAUUGAUUUGGGGAUAAGAGUUGAACCGAUUAACCUGCGAAUCGAUACAGACGAUUGAACCAAGCCAAAAAAACCUAAUUGAACUGAUUUUCUCUAAUUUUUUAAAUAUUUCCAUUUUUAUGUUUUUUUAAUAAUUUAUUUGAUCGAAUUUAAUGAACUGGUCCAAUUAAGAAUUGGUAACUUAAUUGGUUCGACUAUCAAUCUAGUAAAAUAUAUAUAUAAAAGAGAAAAUACUAUUUUUUAUUUUUUUUCACAUGUCAAUUUUUAAUUGAUUAUAUUUUAAAUAGAGUUAACGGUUUAAUUAAUAUUUAAACUAACAAAUGUAUUAAUUGAGGGGAAAUAGUUUAAGAACAAUUUGUGACAAAAAAAUAUUUAAAUAUCAAAAUAGAAAAAAAAAGAUAACUAUGAUACUAAUUUAUGGGUUAAUUUCUUUUUAAAAAUAAACUUAACGGUUUUACUACUAAAAAUCAACUUAAAAGAGAAAAAAUAGUUUAAAUGUCAGUUAUGGUAAAAAAAAUAUUAAAUAUCAAAAGAAAAAAAUAAUAUAAUUUAAAUAUUAAUUUAUAGGUGAAACCUUUAUUUUGUAUACCAAAAUCUUCCCCUAACGCUCAGAAUCGGAAUAUCAUGUGAGUAUUAUUUUUAAAGGUAAGAGAGCACGAUUUGCCCUUUUUUUUGGUAAUAGCUUUGGCACUAUCUCCACCUAAUUAUAAAAAAUAUAUAAUUAUAUUUUUUAUUUAUAACGUGCGAUUCUGUUUUGGGACUUGGAAUGAUAAAAAAGACAAGGGGAUUUAAAUUUUGAAAAGGAAAGGCCGAAAGGGUUUUCUAAAGUUGAAUUCAAGCCUUACACCGGUUUAAUUAGGGUAAAUUAUAAAAUUAAUCACUUAUGUAAUGUCUAAAUUAUAGAUUGAUCACUGGAAUUUAAUUCAUUAUGCUUUGGCCACUAAUGUUAUGAAUUUGUUACAUUUUAAUCAUUGUGUCGUUAUCGGUAUUACGCUUUAGUUAUUUAGACCUAGGUCGUGUGUGAUUCAUCUCGUAAUUAUUUUAUUGUAAUAUGACUGGUGCGUAGUUAUUUAGACCUAGGUCGUGUGUGAUUUGUUCUAUUAAUUUAGUUUAAAUAAACCUCUCUUGACUCAUUGAGUGUGAUCAUCGGAAUGCUUCUCAGUGUUUCGUUUUAAAUUUUACUAUGUUACAAAUUGACUUGUACAUUUGCAGACACUACACUUCAUUCAAAUAUUCAACUGCAUUUUCUUUAGCCCCAAAGAACGCAUGUUGGGGCGUGAUCAUAUACAACACGUAUAUCUCAAAUUAUAUUGACUAAAAAAAUUUGAUUUCAAAAACGACUUUUCUAACACCAAUGAAAAUCAAGUUGUUACAAAAAAUUACUUAUCUAACCUGUAUCAAGUCGGACCAUCAUCCCUUGAUACUUUCACUUAGUGAGAAGUGGCAUGAGACUGGGUUGAGGCUAUUUCAGUUUCAUUUGACUUGGUUAUUGUACAAUGGCUUCUCAGGGUUAGCUCGUUCAAGCUAGGAUGCAACGACUCCUACGACAAACACUGUAACUCAAGUUGGUGUGGCAGGUCGUAGGUGGAAUAUAAGUUUCUUCUUUUUUUUGUAGUACCGAGGGGAGGAAGAGAUGUGUUUUGGAAAAGAUCAAGCGAGUGUAGGAGUCUCUAGAUAUGGCGUUAAACCCAUGUCUCUUAAAACUAGAAGUGGACUUGCGCACGAAACUUGAAAUACUACUUGACGAGGAGGAGUUGAUGUGGUGUCAAGGUUCUUGUUGUAAUGGGAUGGUUCAAUGUGACUAUAAUACAAACUUUUACCAUUGCAGAGCUAAGAGAAGGACACGAAUGAAUCAUAUUACAACCUUGAAGGUUAGUGAUGGAAGUUAGUGCUAUGACAGUGAGUUACCUAAAGACGAAGUUGUUAAUUUCUUUAAUCGUUUAUAUAGAGUGGAAGGGCAUUAUUGCAGGUGACUUCCACUUCGAGGUCGGUUUCCUAUUUUAAGUACUUCUGAGUUACAUUUUUUAGAUGCUGAGAUGUCUGCAGAAGAGAUCAACAGAACUUUGUUUUAGAUGACACCGCUUAAGUCCACUAGUGUUGAUGACUUCCAUGUGCAGUUCUAUUAGUGUUAUUAAGAUGUUAUUGGUCGUUCCUUAUGCCAGAUGAUUAAGGGCAUCUUCGUCUAAUCCAUUUUUUGGAAUGAUGCGCUUCUAAUCCUCAUUUCAAAGUAGGAUUAUUCUUAGUUCAAGCCCAUUAGUCUUUGUGCAGUCCCUUACAAAGUCUUAAUAAAAGUUAUUGUCAACAGAUUGAAAGUUAUGUUGCCAAGGAUCAUUACUCUACCAAAUGAGCUUUGUACCAAGUCGGCACAUUACAGAUGAUAUUAUUGUAGUUUAGGAAAUUAUUCAAUUCAUACGUACUUGGAAGGGGAUGAAAGGAUGGAUGGCCAUGAAGGUGUAUUUGGAGAAGGCUUAUGACUAUUUGUGCUGGGAUUUCAUGGAGGAUACUUUAAGGGUCUGUUUGAUUGGCUGUAAAAUGUUUUCUGGAAAAUGAUUUCUGGAAAAUGUUUUACUUUUCUGUAAAAUGAUUUACUGGAAAAUAUUUUCUAGUGUUUGAUUGAAUCUGUGUAAAAUGUUUUCUGCUGUUUGACAGAUUUCCUGAAAAUAUUUUCCGAAAAAGUUAUUUUUACAUAUAUUAAAUUGUUUUUACAUAUAUAUUAAUAAAUUUUUAUAUUUUAAAUUAUUUUUACAUAUAUUGCAAUGAUUUAUUUAUAAAUAAAUAAAUCAAAUUAAAUAUAUCAAUCAAAUGGUUUAAUUGUUCAAGAUUGACAAUAAUCCUAUAAGAUUCAUUCACAUCACAUGUAAAUGGUAAAAACUAAUCAACAUAUUUGUAAUUAAAUAACUAAGUAGCAGCAGCUUGUCUAGUAAUGUAUUGAAGCCGAAUAAUAUAUAGAACAUAUAGAAAAAUAUCUAAUCUGAAAUGAAAAUGCACUUUCAUCCACAAAAGUGGAUCAUAUCUGAUUGUAUCUAAUGAAAAAUCCCAAUACAAAAUGAAAGAUAAGGUUGGUGUUUGCAGUGUUAGCCAUGUCCUUAGGCAUUUCAGUGCCAUUGUAGAUCUAACAAAUGCCAAAAAGUUACAAGUUUAGUACAUGAGCCGCUCCUUUCAAAACAGAGAUUUAAGGAUCAAACAAUACCUACUAAAGGAAUCAUACAAAGAUGGCUCUACCCGCAAAUGACAAAAGCUUAUCUCUACCCGCAAAUGACAAAAGUUACAAGUAUAGCUAGUUGCUACAUGCAGGCCACGGAUCAAAUGUAUACAAUGGUGCAUCAUGAAUUUUUUCAUGCAGGCCAUUAACACUAAUCAAAAUAAGUGGUUCAAAAUAAGUCCUUCCAUAAACAAUUUUUUCAUAAAUUGAACAUAUUAAUUCAGCCAAAGAAGCAGAAGACUGCUAAAGAGGGACCAACAUUAAAUUGUAACAAGUAUAUAUUUAUGCCAAUAAUCUUCCAAACCAAACUCGAAUUCAGGUAAACUUAUCUCUAUGCAACAUAGCACUACAAUCUAAACAGAAUCAUUUCAUUAUACAUACAAUGCCAAUCAUUAUAAACCAAAUAACAUAGCUGACAUACAAACCUCAAUGUAUUAAAUCGAUCCUUUCCAGAAUUGAUACAAGCAGUUUGCACAGUCUUGUAGUCCUUAAAAUCAAUUCCAGCAUCAUCCUUGACUUCCUCAACAACAUUAGUCAUAUCAAAUCCCAAGUUUUCCACCAUUUUCUCAUCAUCUCUUCUUUUAUGGUCAAAGUAAUUUUGCUGCACUAAUCUCUCCAUCAAUUCUAUCCACUCAGGCCAUGGGUGCACCAUCUCCACCUCCACCUUCUGCCCCUUCUUCUGCAUUUCUGACUCCCCCAACUUAGUCAUUGAAUCAGUACUCAAAACACCAACUUCAGCCCCACUUUUAGCAUCCUCAGCACUUUCCUUAUUCUCCCCAUACUUGAAUUCCCUCCAAGCAUGAAUCCUCUGGAAAGCACCUCCGUUGGGUAAGUCAGUUAACUCGGGUGAAUCAGACAAAGCGGCAUCGUUUUUGGCACUAACAGAAUCAGAAUCUGUCGUCUGUAAGACUCUUUAUCUGUAAAUGAUUCCAACAGUCAUCAUCUCAAACAUAACAAAAUAAAAACAUCAAAGCAAAGAAAUUCAGAAGGGAAAAAGAAAAAAAAAACUACAACACACAAACUCCCUUUUAAAUCAAUCCAACACAAUGAAAAAUAAGAAUGUAUAAUAAACUUAAACACUUGAAAGAUGAAAUUAAGUUAAAAAAACUACAACACACAAACUCCCUUUUACCUAGCUCUCUGAUUCUCCUUUUGGUUUCUUUAGAUGCGGCGACAAAAACUGUCAUUGAUCAUGGGUUGUUACUAGGCUAAGAAUUUGUUUUCUGGAACCAGACCCGAUCCACCAAUCAAAUCAGUGAAAAUUAAACAGAAAAAAUGUUUUCUGGAAUAUUCAACAAUGGAAGCUUCAACAAACAAUUUGGAUUUUUAAAAGAAUUAAACAGAAAAAAUACCUGUUGAUGACAGAGAGAGAACCACUGCUUCUGGGUCUUCUUUUCUUGACUGUGGCUGCUAAUUUUUUAAGGUUUCUUUAAAAUACAAGUAAGGCCGACGGUAGACGGAGAUGACGGACGGAGAUGGUGAGGUGAGGUGACGAACGGAGAUGAGGAGGCAGAGGAUGUGGAAGAAGAUUUGCUUAGAAGAGAAAGAAGAUUGCUUAGAAGAGAAAGGAGAAAGGGAAAAUGUCUUACGGAUUAGAAAUCGGUAAGACAAUUUCCAAAAUUUUGCUUUGGAUUUUACCCGUGUUUGUAAAAUGUUUUCCUAUGGAAAUCAUUUUACACAAAACAAACACCGGAAAUGAAUGAAAAUGUUUUCUAGAAAACAUUUUCCACCAAACAAACACACCCUAAAUGAUGUGGGUUUGCCAUCUGGUCUAAGCAAAGUAAUAAGGCAUUGUAUUUUUACUUAUUCAAUGUAGAUUCUUUGGAAUGAUCAACUAUUUGAGGAGUUUCAUCCUACUAGAGGAAUUCAUCAAGAGAACCCUCUGUUGCCUUAUUCAUUUGCCAUUGUCAUGGAGAGAUUAAACCAUGUGAUUGGAGAAGCUGUUAAGUUGAAUUGUUGGAAUUCAAUAAGCUAGGCCAACAAGGCACUGCCAUUUCUUAUUUGUUUUUUUGCGAAUGAUCCUUUCCUUUUUUACAAAGCUUGUGUUGAGCAAGCCGGGGUGGUUAAGGAAAUUCUCCAUAAUUUUUGUAAAUAUUUGGGUCAUAAUUUUUGUAAAUAACUGUUAUAGUAAAGUUGUUAUUCAGUCAGUUAGUAGCUAAGCAGUUUCUGAGUCAGUUAGCAGUUUAAAAGUUAGUUACAGCAGCAGUUAGUUUGUUCUAGCUCUCAUGCUCUCAUGUUUGUAUAAAUACAUGCAAGUCUGCAUGUUCAUAUUUUAAUCAAAAAGAAAAUAUCAUUUCUCUAUUUUUUCUAUCGUAGCUCUGAUAAUCUUACAUAAAGUUUAUUUCUCUUCUAACAUGAGCGAGGUGAUUGAUGAUUGGAUUGGUAGUAUGUUCAAUUGUAGAUGGUAAAUAAUUUGGGCACUUAUCUUUGUGUGCCCUUGCUCCACACGAGAGUUACAACAAGUACUUACUAGUUUGUUGUUGAUAAAGUUUGUCAGAAGCUAAGUGGCUAUAAUGCUCAUUUACUCCCAAUGACAAGCAGAGUAACGUUGGCAAAUGUAGUGCUAAUGUCCAUUCUGACUUACUUUAUGCAAACUGCAAUGUUUCUUGGUGGGAUUUGUAAGAAGAUUGAGAGGAUUGCUCAUAAUUUUAUCUAAGGCGCUCAUAAAAUGGCUCUCACAUAUCAAGCUUUAUCAUCCCUCACUCAUAUAAUUUCUCUCCAAUCAUUUUUAUUUCUCCACUAUAAACCAUUUCCCGAUCUUAAAAAUUUUGGUCACUAAAAAUAUUUGGUUUACAUUUGAGAUAUUCUUGAGUCGUCGGUGAUGCGAUAUUGCUUCGAGCCACACACAUUUCAUAUAUCAUGUCGAAAUAGGAUCAUUGCCUUUGAAGCCUAUCCUAGGGAAGUCGGUUAUGGGGUGAUUUUGCUUUGUACGAUCAAGGGUAGAAGUCGAUGUGGAGGUUUCAAUCGACGACCAUUAUGCGGUAAUGAAUCAAGGUAUAAUGGGGAAGCCAGUUGACAGCCGUUAUGCGGCCACGAGCUCAAAUACCUAAAAAUGAUGCUUUAUAAAUACCAUACAGAAGUUUGAUGUCAUAUUCAUACGGAAAAACUCUGGGGUUUCUAGCUAUAAUUGGUGUAACUUUUUUCUCUAUUUCCAAGCAAUCGAUACCUUUAACCUUCAUUCUUGUUUGAAGGUCGGCACCGUCAUGGACACAAGAGGACUCUCAAGUGGGGAGCAGCUGUUACGGUGCAGUAAAGGCGAUGCUCCUUUCGGAGCGACAAUGGUUGUCAUUAUUACAGGACCUAUUAAUAACUACAACUGUUGUUGCGCCAACUCGAGUUUGACCUCUACUAUGCUAGAACAUCCGCUCUCCUCCUAAGAGCCCUCUUGUGUCCACCUCGGUGUUGACUUUUGGACAAGAAUGAAAGGUUAGAGAUGUCAAUUGCUUGGAAAUAAAGGAAAAAUUUACGUUGAUUACAUUAUAAGUCCCCAGAGAUUUUCCGUAUGAUUAUAGCCUCAAUCUUAUGUAUGGUAUAUAUAGGGCAUUGUUUGCGGGUAUCCAAAAAUCUUGAACUCCUGAUCGGGUAACGAUCGUCACUUGGCCCCUCGGUUGUACUCGAACCCGUGAGCAUCACGGCCACCGGCUGGGACAUUCACGUUGAAUCCAAUCCCUGAUUGUAUCAAUCAUUAUUAACCAGAUUUCCCCACAAUAGGUUUCUAAAGUCAUGAUUCUAUAUCGCAGUGACAUAUGAAAUGUAUGUGUGUUGCAGCGCGUUAUCACAUCCCGACCCCUUAAAAUUACCUAAUUAUUUUUGUUGUUUUAGUCGAAAACCUUGAUCACUUUUAAAACACCCUAAAUCCUAUAAAACCCUAAACCAAAACCCUAACCCUAAUAAAAUUAAAACCCUAACCCUAGGAGAGAAAACUGAAAAGUUGGACGCACUUUCCAACUAAAUCGACCUAUAUCCUUAAUUAAAUUUAAAACCCUAAUUAAAAAAAUCAGUCUAUAGGCCUUAUUUUGCCUAGUUAUUAUUUUGAAUAAUGAUACUUUGCAUUAAUUACAUAAAGUAAAACUAUAUUGUAGGCUGAAUAUGUUAAAAAUGUUUCAAUUAUUAUUUGAAAAUUUUCUAUCAUAAUAUUUGAAUUGAUAAAUUAAUAUAUUUUAAUUAUAUUUAAUAAAUCAUUAAAAAAUAUUAUUUUAUGCUAAUUACUAUAUUUAAAAUAUAAUAUUUAAAAAAACUAGCUAAAUAUUAAAUUCGUAAAAUCAUAUGCAACGCAUGAUGUCAGAAUUAGUUAUUUUAAAUAUUUUAAUACUUGUUAAAAACUUAAUAUUAUUUUGAUAUAACAUAUAUUUUUUAAUGUAUUAUUUAUCAAAUACUUUAUUUUAAUUUAAGGGUUGGGAAAAGAAUCCGAUGAUGUAGUUAAUAAAAUAAUUAAAUAAUAAGACGUGACGUGAUAUAUAUGUACAAAGAAUAAUUUUAAUAAUAAAAAAGAUAAAUUUUAAUAGAAAAUGAUAAUAUAAUCGGAGUGACUCAUGACUGUUUUAAACUGCCAUUUUGGAUUGAUCUCCUCAAACAGAAUCCUGUGACCGGUCACAGGGGAUCUGAGCUUCUUCCUUCCCAAUUUCGAAUUGGGUAUCUUGGUGCCGCCCACAGUGAUACUAUUAGCUUUUCACUCAAAAUCAAAGUUUCUAGGGUUUUGUCCGCCGGAAUCCUGCCUUCAAUGGCUUCUCACGCGCAUCUCGAUGAUGUCAGUUGCUUCUUUCUCUUUACUAUGCAGCGCUAAUGCAUUCCAUUUUAGGGUUUCUAAUAUCUUUUUUGCCUUUUCCAAUGAUAAAUGGGUGUGUUUUGGAGAAUAGGAUGACGAUUUUGGCGGUGACUUUCCUGGGAGUCAUAGUGCAAGGCAUUCAGGUUAACCUUAUUUGAUUCCUUCUUUCCCUACAAUAUUUUUUUUAUCAAUUUAUUUAAAUGAACAAUUUGUAUUAUUAUUUUUUCUUUCAAAUGCAUAUUCAGGUAAUAAAAGAAGUUUUGGUGAUCUUGAGGACGAUGAGGACGAUAUUUUUGGAUCAAAAAAGGUAGCAAUAGUUUUUAAGGUUUAUUAUUAUUAUUGUUGUUGUUGUUGUUAAACCCAAUGGAUUUGAGGGAAAUUUUGAAUAUGGAACCUUAGUGCUCUAAGUUUUCAUCCUUAUUCAUUUCCUACUCAUUUAUCACUUGACUUCGAGAAGCCAUUUGUGGAGAAACAAAAUAUAUUAGUUUAGUUAUUUUAACCCGAGGAAUUUUGUCUGUUUGUAUUGUAGGGCAAUUCUAAAGUAGAAGAAACUGCCCCCGGUGUAGCAACAGGGAUGAUUUUGUCACUUCGUGAGAGGUGUAAUGCAUAGAAUGACUUAUACCUAUGAGAUUAUUACGUUUAUGCAACUGCUUGUUUGUUUGCAAUUUUCUGUGAGAUUUAUCUUCACUUUUUAUCGUGAUUCUUUUUUUUUUUUCUUCCACCUUUUGCAGCCUUCAGAAUUGUAAGGACACCCUUGCAACGUGCCAAGUAUGUAUCGUCCAUUGUUUGAUAUCAUCAAAUUGUUUCUUUGUUUAAUUUGUAUAUGUGUAAUAAAUAAAUGUUGUAAACUCACCUACUUGGAAAUACUAUAGAUACUAAGACAUUAAGCAUGGAAAUUUUGCUUCACAAACGAAUAAGUUUUAUAUGAAAAACCAUCUACAACAGAGAUUUUUCAAAGUUUUGUCUUUUUGGUUGUACAAGUUUUAUGCUUCCUUGUUGACUUAGGACCUUUUUGGAUAUUUUACAGUGUUCCUUUCUUCCUUUUUUUUAUCAUUUCUAAAAUAAAACGAUUCUAUAAUAGGCUUGGAAAGGGACUUGUCUUGAGGACUCUAGCUAUCAUGUCCAUGUUAGCUCUUUCUGUCCUUUUCACUUUGAAAUGGUAUUAUAUAGGCGUGGAAUUAGCUUAGUCCAUAAAAAAAUUCAUGGUUGAAGAAUAUAAUGGCAACCACCUGAGCUUUCAUACCUUUUUUCAUAAACUGUACUUCCUUUUCUCUCCUUUUCCUCUUAUUUCUCUUCUUUUUUUGGAUUUUUUUAUUAUGAUGUUUUCUGUUUUAGACGGAGCUUGAAGCUGCAAAAUCAGAGAUUCAGAAAUGGCAUUCUGCAUUUCGGAAUGAGCCCUUCAUUCCAGCUGGAAUAGCUCCUGGUUUGCCUUUUCUUGUAGUCUUCUCUAUAUUUAUGUUUCAUAUAUUAGGCCCUAUUGAUUACCUUUCCAGUUCGAAGUUCUAUUAAAUAUUGAUCAUUUUAGGUAUGCUACUUUUCUGAUGGAGCAAUUGUUUUGUUCCAUUUUCUGUAGAACCCAAGUUAGUAAUGAAUUAUCUUCAAACUCUGAAAUCCUCUGAUGAGACACUGAAGGAACAAGUAAGAACUUGAUAUUGCUUACUUUCUCACUAUAUAUUUUCUGCUUUAACUGUUCUUAUCUGUUAAUCAGAAUUUCAUGCAUGCUUUGUUCUUAUUUUCAGCUAGAAAAAGCCAAGAAAAAAGAAGCUGCCUUUAUUGUAACAUUUGCAAAGCGUGAGCAGGAGAUUGCUGAGUUGAAGGUGACAUCUUUUAAUUUUGUUUUCCCUCUUGACUACCAUCUAUGAUUGUUUAGCAUGCUGUUUGCUGUCUAACUGUUGGAAUAUGGCAAUGUGCGAGGAUGAGAUAAAUUUUUGGAUAUUUCUGGUAAAGAUAAGCAAAAAGUAUAUCAAUGUGCAGUAAUGAUUGUUCUAAAAAACAUUUUAAUUCCAGUAUAGAUUGCUAUUGAAGAGACUCAUCUUUUAGGGUGUGCUUGGUUGAGUGAUAAUGUAGAAAGAUGGAAAGAGUAGAGUGGAACAGUUGAAAGAAAAUAAAUUUUCAGUGUUCUUGGUGGGAAAGAAAAGUGAGAGGAAAAAUUCUGAAAGAUGACCAUUUUCCAUCAUAAUGCAUAAAGACAAAUCAUUCCAAAUUGGUAUGAUAAGAGGAGGGAAAAGUAAAGAGAUACAAGUGUGCAUAUUUACAAGAUUAUCCUCUUUUUUUUUUAUUUAAAAAAAUCGUUUUCUUUCCUCUCAUUUUUCAACUUUACCAAGCAAUGAUGUAAAGAAAAUUACUUAAUUCUUUUCAUUUCUUCAUCUUUCCUACCAAGCAGACCAAUGGAAAGAAAAAUAUAUUUUCUAUCUUUUUACUUUUCUUCUUUUCCAAUUUUCUUUCCACCAUACCAUGCAAAACCUUAGUUUUAAUAUGUGCACCAUUAGGACUUGCUGGUGAAUAUGUUAUCUCAAAUGUAUGCUACAUUUACUUCUUGAGGAAACUGCAUAUUUUCUUAUUUUUCCACUGUUGAUGUUUGUCUAUUGUUGAUUCUCAAGUCGGAGAGGACUCCUUUAAAUCUAGUGGAGUGAGAAUUCGUUUUGCUCAUCUAUGUGCAAUCCUUUACGAUCUUCCUUUUGGGAGUUUCUCUUUGCUGUUGCUUGUGUAGAUUGUCAUGACCUUUAUUCUACUUCAGAUUCUGAAAGAAUUUCUGGGGGCACCUUUACCAUUUUUUCUUACUUCUAUACAAUCACCCUGACCCUUUUUUUGGUUAUUCUCUUGUAUAAAGCAUUAUGCCCCACUUAGUGCAUUGAUUACUUGGACAUGAUUGUCUAAUAGCUUGGCCAACUAUGACCAAAAUCUCUUUUAAUUUCCAGUCAGCUGUUCGUGACUUGAAAGUUCAACUGAAGCCACCAUCAAUGCAGGUAUUAUCUAAUGCUCACUUCAAAGUGAAUGAUGUUAUUUCUGUUAGCAGAUAUUAUAUAUUACUUUGCUUUUGUUGUUUUAUUUUCUACUUGGGAGGAUGGUCAAGAAAAAUGCAUAAAAUGCAUUUCAUAAGAGCUUAUGUACCCUUAUUUUAUGCAUUCAAAUAAUCUGAUAUUGGCAUUAUAUCUGUCUUUUGAGUUUUGAGUUUUCACUAUAAGUUGUCUUAAUGGUUCCAAAUUCCCAAUUGAACCUGCCCUCUGUAUUUAAGCGAAUUGUUCUUGUUACUUCCUAACAUUUUUAUGCGAUUCAACAUUUUGUUGUGUAAUUUAUGGGUCUGAUUUCAUCAAAUAUCUGCUUCUCUUAUUCUUUUUUGUCCAGAUAUUUGUUAGACAUGAUUUUUUACCGUUUCUGUUACAUGACCUAGAACUAAAGGAUGUUUUGCACCUUUCUACCUGUUUAAUUUUCUUUGUGGCUUAUGUGACAGGCCAGAAGGUUACUACUAGAUCCUGCCAUUCAUGAGGAAUUUACUCGUUUAAAGGUUUGUUCUUAAAGUUCCUUUUUGCUUAUCAGUGCAAGGGUAUCUGUUUUCUAAAUGAAGUAGAAUGAAUUUGGGGAGAAAGGAAUCAUAAAGGGAGUAACAUGUUUGCCUGGCAGGCACUGUAUUAGAAGCCAUAGAUGGACCAUUGUAAUAUUACUAUUUGUAGUUAAUCUUUGGGCUUUUGGACUUUAGGGUGGUUUGGAAAUUUUGACAAGUUGGUGUCACAAUGGAUUAGGCCUGAAACAAGUUCGGUUUCUGUUUGUUUUUUAAACUUUAUGCAUAUCCAAAUUCUUCUUAUUCGUUUCUGGUUGGUAAUCUAGAACAUGUUAAAGAUUUAAAAGUUGAGGCCUGUAAGUUUAAUCUGCUGUUAGGUUGCCCUGUGCUUAUAGAUUACCCAUACAGAUACAGUGUUAUUUUAAUGUCAUUAUGCUAGAAGUGGAGAUAUAUGCUGUUAAGUAAUCCAUUGUGCUUAUGGAUCAGUUAUUUAUAGUUCUACUGUUAUGGUACUAGAAUUUGGUUGAGGAAAAGGACAAGAAAGUUAAAGAGCUGCAGGAAAAUAUUGCCGCUGUUAGUUUUACUCCUCAAAGCAAAAUGGGAAAGAUGCUGAUGGCAAAGUGUAGAACAUUGCAAGAGGAAAAUGAGGAGAUUGGUACUCAAGCAGAGGAAGGAAAGGUAUGCGGUAAUACAUGCAUUACUUUGUUGGUGCACGCCAAUUUAUGUGUUUAAGCAUUCAUCUCCCCCAUAAUAAAAUUAGGGGGUGGCAAAUAGAUCGAUUGUGAUAAUUACAGGCUGCAUUGUAAAAGCAUCUUUGCACUUCGAACUGGAAUGAAUCCUGAAAUAGAUUAGAAGGCCUUUCAAAGCUGCAUAUGAUUUAUUAUGUUGAGACAUUGGUUUGUUAUUUAUGCUUAUUUUUACUUACUCUUUGUUCACUCUUUGUUCAAUGCAGAUGCAUGAAUUGGCCAUGAAACUGGCCUUACAAAAAUCUCAAAAUGCAGAACUUAGAAGUCAAUUUGAAGGUCCGUGUUAAAUAAGUUAUGAGUUUUGGUUGAAUGGACCAGAUUGGGAUAUCCAACAUUAAUGAGAACUUGAAUAUGCUCUCUGCCUUUCCGUAAUUGAAAUUGUUAUUCCAUGGUUGAAAAUUUGGUUCAUGCUCAUGUUUGAUCGUUGCUGUUCUGUUGCUUGCAGCAUUAUACAAACAAAUGGAGGGGCUGACAAAUGAUGCGGAAAGAUCAAAUGAAAUGGUUGUUAUCUUUCUCUCAUCUUUAAUCUUCUCAUUAAAUUGAAUCAUCAAAUACCAUACAUUAAAUGAGCAUCAGAUGGAAAUUCCCUUAUAAUCAUGAAAUUGCCAUUUCCGUGCCACUUGACCUCAAUAUAACCAUCAUGCUGAGUCAUAUCAUGUGUUAUAUACGCCUACUUUCCUUAUUUGACAAAAAAUAGUGCCCUUUAUUUGCAUGAUAAUUGGCAUUUGCUUGAAGAAGCUAAGACAUGUUUUGAGAUAGGAUCAUUAUAUUGCUAUGUUAUAGAGUGGGAAAGAUAAUAAUUUAUGGAAGAAAAAUGAACUUUUAAUGUACAAGCAACACUAGAUGCUCUUCCUCUCCAUCAUGCAUCUUCUUUCCCGCUUGAUGUCAUUGCACCAUGUCAUUGUAAAGUUGGAGCAAUAAGUGUUUUUUCUAUUUGACGCUAUUUAUAUCUGGAACCUCCUCUUUGAGCGCUUAUUUUGUAGACUAAUCACUUUCGUAUCCUACUACUUUUCUCACUACCUUUUUCUCUUAUCAUUUUUUUCUAAAAACAGUUUCAUAGCUUCAUGCCUUCACCUUUCUUUCCUUUAGGACUUGAGAUGAAACUUAUUAUCUAGAAAAGCCAAAAUAGAAGCAAAUUUGUGUGAAAAAGGAAAAAGAAAAAAGCUCAAACCCAAAACUUUGCCCACAAUCUAUCCAAGGUUAAGGUAUUAUAAGGAACUAGAAAUGAAAUUGAGGGAAAUGAAAAACAUAUUGGUGAAUUGCAAUUUUUAGUUGAAACUUUUUGAUUGAAUUAGAGAGCUCAGUAAUAGUAAAAUAUCUCCAUUUUUUUAGGACUUGAGGUAAGCGAAAGAUAAGAAGAUUUGUUAGGAGAUUUGAUUCAGAUUUUGAUUUGAUUUUGAGUUCUUAAAAUUUCCUUGUUAGUUUAAAUAAACUUUCCUAAUAAAUUAGGAUACUUGGUUGUCAUUUUCUUUUCCUUAGAACAUGAAAUUAGGAAUUUCAUUUUGUUUCUUAAAUUGUAAACCUUCAUUUAAGAGGAAAAUUAUUAAUGAAUAAACAAGUUGAAAGUUGAAAGUUUCAGUAAAUUAAAGGUAGGAGUUUUGUGGUAGGGAACUCUACUAGAGUUCCACAACCAUAGGCAAAACUAGGGAAAUAAAUGAGGGCAAAGAUCCUUUAGUUGAAUCUGAUUCCUGUUUCAUGUUUCGUGACUUGAUCCUAGAUUCGGGAUCGUAACAAUUUGGUAUUUGAGCUAGGCACCAAGAACGAGAAAACCUUUGAUGAGAAAAUUCGAAACCUACUAUGCAAGGCUUUGACUUAACAUGAAGCGUGUUUGGUUGCAUUAGUGGCACGAGUUGAUGCAAAGUUAGAACAUAUUUAGGUUCUGUUGUGCAAGUUCUUUCUUGGGAAAGAGGUAGAGACAACAUAUUUAGGUUCUAUUGUGCAAGUUCUUUCUUGGGAAAGGGAUAGAGACUUUUGACCAAGGAAUCCCAAACUGUACUUGUGACCAAAAUGCACACUUUGGGGUUCGUUUUAGUAGUAGAAGCAUCAUGGACAUACAACAGUCCAUGAUGGCAACGUGGGUAGGGAAAUAGUACCUAAAUACAUCAAACUUGAUUUUCCUACAUAUAAUGGAUCGGAUGAAACCCUUGUUUGGCUACAUAAAUGAGAGAUGUUUGGCCAACAAAUAAUAUUGCCUCUCAAGAUAAGGUUGGGUUGGAUGUCUUCUACAUGUUAGGAGAAGCAUAGCUCUCAUUCUAUCAAUUGAAUCUGGAACCAAAAGUGACAUGGGCGAUUUGGCAAUUCAAACAGUUUGUGGCUUAACCUAGGAAGAUGUUAUUCAAUUCAAAACAACUAUUCCAAUGUAGUUUUUUCCUUUAGAGUUUAAUAGUAGGCAACUCCUUUAGAUUUCCAUAACCAUAGGCAAUAGGAAUCAAAAUAAGGGCAAAGACUAGUCAACCCCAAACUCGAGACCAUAACACCAUUCUUGUCUAAUCAAAGGGAUGACUUGCAUGAAUGGUCAUGAUUGAGGAAAAGAGAGAAUUAUCACCAUCCUAAGCUCUUGGUUAUAAAUCUAUAACUUAAGGACAAAGUUGAAAAGGGGACUUUAAGUCAUUGUGAAAUGCCAUGUCAUAUGGUACUAUGCUAUGGUCCUAACUUAUGGAUCAAGUCAUCGGAUGAUAUGCCAAAAAGUCUACUACAAUUAAGGGGGUUUUUCCUUUGUUACAAUUCUUGCCGCGAGAAUAACCUAUGAUAAACUUGUUAAAGGGAGUCUAUUGCAGUACUUGGACUUGAACUUAUUGUUGAUAUACCUUCAUGCCCAGAGUUUUUUUUAGCAAAAGAAGAUGGAGUCGUCAUUGCCAUGUUGGUAUCGUUAGUACACUAGCUUGUUUGUUACCAUGGUUUUCUUGGCAUGCUUGCAGUUCUUGCUAGUUGCUUUUUUUUUAAGGAUCAUGUCAAAUUCAUUGCCUGAACAAGGUUAGGAAGAGGAUUUUGCAUCACCUCAUCAAGCCUAAUUGAAUUCAUUAAUUUUGCGGUAAACAAGUUGACCUAUUGGUCCACUCACAUUGUAUUGGCACGUGCCAACAACCCUUGAAAUUGACAUUGGUCCACUCACAUUCCAGUCCGUUUCAAGUUAACCAAUUGACUGCCGCCAAAUAUGUGAACGUUUGACUGGAAAUACAACAUAGAUAUAAAAAUAUAGCAGUGGUGUCUGCAACUAUACGGAUCAAAUUGUAAUAUGGUAAAUGUACAACGGGUACUGGAAGUACUUCGAGGAUCGUACCCAAGGGAGGUUGAAUUAAAUCUAAAAAUAUUGUCUACAAUAGUAGGUCUAAACUGUAAUCAUUAAAACUACAUUACGAUAAUUGAAGUCAUAAAAUAAAUAUUAAACUACAAAAGCAAAGUUGACAAACGAAAAAUUCUCUAAUAACAAACAAAAGAUUAAAUUGCUUUAGAGCUCGGGUUUUAUUAGGGAAUUAGUUAUUAACUAAACAGUAUUACCUUUCAGCCUCUACUACCUAGCUAAUCAACCAAUACUCUUUUAUCUUCCUAUCUUGCUUUUUUGACCGGUAUAAAUUAUGAUUUUCUCGAUAAACUUAUCUCUAGUUCUUGUUUAACUUAGAUUACUUUCUAGGGUCGUCAAUCCUAAGAUUUAAGCACCCAAUAAUUUAUACCAACUAAUUCAUAUGAAAACUAUUAUUCUUUCGUUAAUCACUCCCACAUUCGCUCACUAAUCUCCCGAAAGGACUUAGAAGUUAAAAUCUUAAACUACUAAACUAAAACCUUAAAAUGGCUUGGCAAAAGUUCUCCCUAGUUGAGCAUAAGCCUCCUAUUUAUAGACAAAGUUAGCAACCCAUUUUAGGUCAAAUACAAGCCUUAAUCACACUAAAUAUGGAUUGUGUAGACAAAAACACCUUUAAUUAAUUUUUGCCCUCCGUCAGACCUGUGUCGCGACACAGCCUGGUGCGUGUCGCUACAUAUAACUUUGAUUAUAAAUUCUUGUGUUGGUUUGGUUGUGUUGUGACUCAGUUGUUCUUGAUGCUUUUGGGCCUGAAAAUAGGUGUCCUGUACACUCAAUUAGAUCAUUAGAAUUACCUUAAGUUUGAUAUUGGCCCAAUAGGUCAACUAACUCGAAAUAUUACGUAAAAAUGCUUAUUUUGCAAUAAUUUGAAUCUAAGUUAAGAAAACUAAAAAUGUAAAUAAUUAAACACGAAACGAUUUAAAAACAAGUUCGUUAAGUACCGAAAAGUACUUAAAUUACCCCUACAAUUUGUGGCAGGUCACCAAUUCACCUUAAGGGUUAAUCUUCAAUGGUGGGGCAAAUCUCAAAGUGCAAUAUUCCUUGCGCCAGAUCUACCUUAGUUGUUUUCCGGUUUGAGAAAAUUACUCACUCUUGUGUAGCUAAAUCAAAAGAUCUUUUGUACCAUCAAAGGUCAAAAAGUAACUUUGUAUAUCGCGACACAGUUCUUGAUCCACAUGUUGACUUUGUCUUGUUCUCUUGUCUAUUCUGUCGACAACUUAUUUUGUUGACAUUGUUGUUUCCUCUAUCAAACCUUUUUCCCUUUCAUGAUUUUGGUUGGAAGUCAUCAAUUCUUGUCUUUGAAAUGACAUUUGUUGCAAUAGCUUAUUGCAACUUGUCAAUGCUUUCAACCAUUCUAGACUACUUCCAGUUUUGCAUCAAUGCUCUUUGAUGUUGGAAUCACCUAUGGUGUCUAGCUUUGAUAUCAAAUUGUUACGGUCUCAACUUACAAGUUGAGUCAUCAGACAAUUUGUCGGAAAGUCUACUACUAUGAAGCACGGACACGCCGAAAAGUCCCUUGUACUGGUGUCGACACGGGCACGCUGUCGACAUGCCAGAAUACAUAUCAAACACAUCAGGAUAUGACAAAAUAAUAAUAAAUAUCAGACACGGUCAGAUAUGAGACAUGCAAGGACACAGGAUUUUGGUGGUUGAAAGUUAGUGAUAGGAAUUCUCUAUUUGAAACCUAGAUAUACACUUUAUUGUUGAGAUUUUCUAAAAUCUAAUUUGGUGCAUGUGAUUAGGAGGUUGAGGGAGAUAUAAUGGGGGUGUUUUUCAAUAUUUCGACAUCGUUGAUGGUGGCCGAAGUGGUAGCGGUGACAUUGGUUCUAGGUAGAGGAAGAUGAGACAGAGAGAGAAGGAAAUAUAAGAGAGAACUGAAAAGAUGAGAAAGGAAAAGGAAAAAAAUAAAGGACGGGCC